UACACUUAGGAGUGUUAGAAUGCUCAAAACCCAACAGGUAGUUUCUGGAAGGUUUGUUGCGUAUACUUCAGAAAGGUUUCAGAGGGCAAGGUACUCCUCGCAUGAGUACUUCAGGGUCAAGAAUAUGAGGGAGACGAUUCUGAGGUCUGAGUUGGGUUGUCGUUACGAGUGAUGAGGAUUUCGUUAAUCGGUCGGUUAAGGCGGUGGACUUUUGAAACACAUGAACUUCGUAUGGUUAGGACCAUUCCAAUCUACGACGAAUGAUGACGACAGACUCUUUAUAGAAACAAUUGUUAGGCCGAUUUAAAAGAAACGUUUGUUAUAACGAUGGUGUAUCCCGAGUGUGCUCGACAAUGUAUUUUGUGCAGGCUUUCUAGUGCUUUCUCGAAAUUACCACUGUCACAUAUUGAACCGCGAUAAGCGAGUACUAGUAGUGAAAGUGAUUUGAUAACUAGUGACGAUACUUUUUAUUAUGAUCCAUCUCGGUACCUCUAUGAUCGCUUGGCACAUACAAGUUGUGUGUAUAUGUCAAAGCUAGUGGGAGUAUAGUUAGCUUCCUCGUAUUAUAUGUCGAUGACAUAUUACUCAUAGGAAACGACAUCCCGACCCUGUAGGAGGUUAAGUCCUAGCUUGGGAAGUGUUUCGCUAUGAAGGACCUCGGAGAGGCUGCCUAUAUUCUGGGAAUAAGGAUAGUGAGAAACAGGAGUAAAAGACUAAUAGGACUUAGUCAGAAUACUUACUUGGACAAGGUACUAAAGUGUUUUAGUAUGGAGAAUUCCAAGAAAGGGGAGUUACCGAUCCAAAGCAAUGCCAAGUUGAGUAAGACUCAAAGCCUGAGUACCGAAGUCGAGAUAGCAGAGAUGAGCUGAGUACCUUACGCUUCCGCAGUCGGCUCGAUCAUGUAUGAUAUGACUUGUACUCGCCCUGAUGUGGCCUUCGCUUUAAGCAUGGUCAGCAGAUAUCAAGGGAACCCUAGUAGAGCGCAUUGGACCGCAAUCAAGAAUAUUCUUAAGUACCUUGGAGGACCAAGGAAUGGUUUCUAGUCCUCGGUGGGAGUGAUGACUUAAGGGUGCGAGGGUACAGUGAUGCUAGUUUUCAGACAGACCGAGAUAAUUAUCGAUCUCGGUCAGGUUGGGUAUUUACCCUGAAUGGAGGAGCAGUGACUUGAAAAAGUUCCAAGUAUGAGACCGUAGCUGAUUCAACGUGCGAAUCAAAGUACAUAGCAGCGAGCGAAGCGUCGAAGGAGGAAAUAUGGUUGAAGAACUUCAUCGAAGACCUUGUAGUUUUUCCAUCCAUAAAGGAGCCUAUGGAAAUUCUCUGCGAUAACGAAGGUGCGGUUGUCUUGACCAAGGAACCGAGGGAUCAUGGCAAAUCCAGACAUAUCGACAAAAAAUACCACUUCAUCAGACAUCGGGUAGAAGAGGGACGCCGCGUAUUGAAGAAGGUAUCGUCAGAAGAUAACCUAACAUAUCCCCUCACGAAUGAAUGAGUAGGGUUAAGCACUUGCAGCACACUAGGAGCAUUGGGCUGAAGGACGAUAUUAGUUUAGAUUCGAUAGUUUCGAAACGUGUAACAGAUAAAUUAUAAUGAACAUUUUAAGAUUAAAUAAAGGAGUAUUAUUUAUAAGUAAAAUUAUUGUCUUGUGUUAAUGAUUUACCUAUUGUUUCACUUUGCAUGUUUUGACUUCCUGAAUAAUAAGAUUAUUCGAACAGUCCACAGUCGCUGAUACUUAGGAAGUAGGUAUGAAAGAAAAUUGUCAUGAAUUGGUUUGUAGACUGUCUAAAGUGUAUUAGACAUAACAAAAGUUUGCUGCAACGUUCAUGAGUGCUUAUGAAAUAAUAUUUGCGCAUUGGAUUAAACCCACGCUUGCUGGCAUCACUUCAUGGAAUUUAUCACGAGUGAUCGCAAGACGAUAAUGUCAUAUAGUCUUUAAACCUGGAUAUAUUGUUUAUUGUUUGCAAGUUGGUUGUGCACUGAUAAUGCGUGAAUGCAUUAGUAACUUCAUGUUAUAAAACACAUUGUUGUGCAUUGUGACAUCCCCAAAAUCUCGGCCAGAAAAGACCGAUUUUCAUUUAUGCUUUUAAAAUAAUUUCAGAGUAAAUCCUUUUGAUUUGAAAGAGUUGCGGAAUUUGUUCCCAAAAACAAAACAUGAUAAAACAAUGUUUACCAAAGCAUUUCAUAAAAGAAAUGUAUUUUCAUUAUAUAAUCAAAACUCGGGGUGUCAUGUUCCGAUACAGACCAAUAAGCAUAAACGAUAACAUUACAAGUCAUUCAACAAAUAUAUACAUAUACAGACUUGUAAACAAAACAACUUGAUGGUUCAUCCAUCUUAUGCCCUCGCGCCACUUCCUGUAAUACAAAUAAAACUGAGUGGGUCAGGCUUGGGAGCUUGGUGAGCAUAUAGGGUUUUCAACCCACAAUAAAUAAUUAUAUUUAAUUUCCACCAACCAACAACAACCCAAUUACCCAUUCCCGUUAUUCUCACUUUAUGUCCCUAAGACAACUAACAUAAGGGACCUAGUCUAAGAAUAUUUCAUCGGGGCGACAACACAUGCUUCGGGGGUUCCUCAGCAAUAUAAGUCAAAUAAGGCAACCAUGAGGGGGAUGGAGUACAACGAAUGAACACCCAAGUUCAUUAACACCUACAGGUGGCGAACCUGCUAAUGUUUCCACAAGACUAUCUAGAAAAGUCCGUGGUCGUCAUCUAAACUCCGCUAGAUGACUAAAUCAAACAACAACGAGGCCUCUCAUCUGUUUAUUACACACCAACUAUCUACCCAUGUUCUACCCAACAUAUUAGUAGAUAAAAAUAUACAUUUUUAUACAUAGUUUAAAAACCUGUAUAGCAUGCUUUAAUCAAUACAUAUUCCACAUAACAGAUGAGGCACACACACAUAACACGUAUUUCAUAGAGAAUAAAUCAGAUCUAUGAGAUAGAAGAAAGUGAAUAUACAUUCACACAUAUAACAACAAAAUAUACACAUAACACGUAUUUUAUAUAUAAUACUUCAUAAUUAUGCGUUAGAAGAAAGUAACUACACACUCACUCGAUCAGAAGAUGAUCGGACAGCACUACGACUUGCAGAAGUAGUAAUCCUCAGCAGAUCUGGAAGAUCUUCACAAAAAUCGAACUUCUCGCGGGCAGAGCUUCGGCUCGGGAACCGCACUUCUCGGGAUCUUCGGGAUCUCGGGACUUGCCUCGGGGCUCGAGAAUAAUACCGGGGCUUCGGGGUAUUUCUGGCACGCAAAUCGAUGCAAAACGGGAGAGAGAAGAGAGAAAAUAGCAAAAGAACUCGGCUGCCCUCGCAUCCUAUUUAUAGGAGGCUGGAGCCUCGGAGUACGCGGGGCGUACUGCUCCGAAACGUCAUGGCGUUCGUCAUCCGAAGAACUCGAGUGCGAGGUGCGUCAUGCUUCGCUGUACGCGGGGCGUACUUCGGAUCAGAUCGGUGACUCCUUCGGAUAAUCAUCCGAAUUAAAGAUUAAAUUUAAAUACAAAAUAUUUAAUAAACUUCGGAAAUUCAUAUCUUCUUCAUACGAACUCCGUUUUCGACGUUCUUUAUAUCCACGCGAAGGUGAGACUACGCUCUACAACUUUCGUUUAGACUCCGUCGGCUAAUUUUGACUUUAUUUUUAUUAUUUAUUUUUAAUAGGCCGCGACAGAAAAACUUCGUUAUAAAUUCAUAACUUCUUCGUUUGACGUCCGUUCUCGCCUAACUUUUUAUCGCUUCGAUACCAACAACGAGACCUUCGAUCCUCGUUUAGAUUGCUUCGGCUAAAAACCGCUCGAUCUCAAAUCGAGUAUUUCGGGCUGCAUACCGCUAAGCCGAAACUUCGAUAAAUCAUAACUUCCUCAUACGAAGUCAGAUUUGGGCGUUCUAUAUAUAUUCGGAAACCUCGUUUCAACUACUACAACAUUAUUCAAAGAUAUUAAGUUUAUUUUACACUUAAAUUUUGACGCUUAUUUUUAUUCUUAAUUAAUCAAACCACAUAAUUAAGCAAUUAAGCACAAAACACAUAAUACUCAAAUAAUACAAUCUUAUUAUUUCAAAACGGGUUACAAAGGUUAACCUAGACUAUUACAUUGCUAAAAAUGGCAAGCCCGGAAACACAGGCGUUACAAUUCUCUCCACCUUAGAAUGAUUCCGUCCCCGGAAUCACACAUCAACAAACAAAUGCGGAUAGCGACUCAACAUGUCACUCUCCGUCUCCCAGGUGAGAUUCGGCCCAUUCGUGUGUUUCCAUCGGACAAGCACUAACCCAACCAUUUUGCGUCGCAACUUCUUAGUCUUUCGGUCAACAAUUGCCUCUGGUUCUUCAAUCAACCUUUUGUUCUCAUCAAUUCUCAAUUCAGAAAUUGGAAUUAUAUCGGGAACUUCUCCCGUGAACUUCCUCAAAUAACACACAUGAAAGGUGUUGUGAAUUCCAUUCAGUUCUUCGGGUAAUUCGAGCUUGUAAGCUUGGUUCCCAAUCCUCUGAAGAACUUUAAACGGUCCAAUAAACCUUGGACUCAACUUUCCCCUUUUACCAAAUCUUAUAAGUCCCUUCCACGGCGAGACUUUAAGCAAAACCGAAUCUCCAACCUCAAAAGUCAUCGGUCUUCGCUUCUUGUCAGCAUAGCUCUUUUGACGAUCUUGAGCUGCUAACAUUCUUUCCCUAAUUAUUUUCAACUUUUCAGCAGUUUGAUGAACCAUCUCCGGUCCCAUAAACUGCUUUUCCCCAGCCUCAAGCCAACAAGACGGCGUACGACACUUCUGUCCAUACAAAGCUUGAUAAGGUGCCAUCUUAAUGCUCGAGUGAAAACUAUUAUUAUAGGAAAAUUCUACCAACGGUAAAUGUUCAUCCCAAUUACCUAGGAAUUCCAAGGUACAUGCUCUCAGCAUAUCUUCAAGUGUUUGUAUUGUUCUUUCACUCUGACCAUCAGUCUGCGGAUGGUAAGCUGUGCUUAAACAUAACUUGGUACCCAUUUCCUCUUGUAGACUUUUCCAAAACCUUGAGGUGAAACGGCUAUCACGAUCCGAUACAAUCGUUAACGGAACACCGUGAAGCCUCACAAUUUCCUUCACGUAAGAAUUCGCAAGCUUUUCCAUAGACCAUUUCUCCCUGGCCGCUAUGAAAUGCGCACUCUUAGUGAAUCGAUCAACGACCACCCAAAUCAUGUCGUGACCAUUCUUUGUUCUGGGCAGUUUAGUGACAAAAUCCAUAGCAAUGUCUUCCCACUUACCCAUAGGCACAGGCAAAGGUUCUAAACUCCCGUACGGUUUCUGAUGUUGUGUCUUGACUCUCGCACAAGUCACACACUCGGCCACAUACUUUGCAACAUCAAGCUUCAUCGUCGGCCACCAGUAGUAGGGUUUCAGGUCCCUAUACAUUUUAGUGCUACCCGGAUGAAUCGAGUACAUGGUCUUGUGAGCUUCUUCCAUCAGAAGAUCUCUAAUUCCUCCUGACUUAGGUACCCAAAUACGAUCUUGGAAUACCUUCAGUCCAUGACCGUUAGUACCAAACACCAACGUUUUACCCAAACGUUCCUCCUUUCGGUCAUUUUUCUCAGAAGCUUCCUCUUGAGCUUUCUUUAUACUUUCCACAAUGGUCGAGACAACUUCAAUUCUCAACGCUCUUGGCCUCUUCCUUUCAAGAUUGACCUUCCGACUGAGAGCAUCAGCAACAACAUUAGCUUUACCGGGGUGGUAAAGUAUCUCGCAGUCGUAGUCUUUAAGUAAUUCUAGCCAGCGUCGUUGCCUCAUAUUCAAUUCUUUCUGAUUAAAGAGGUAUUGGAGACUCUUAUGAUCAGUGAAAAGUUUGCACUUCGUGCCAUAGAGGUAAUGCCUCCAUAUUUUCAGAGCGAAAACUACCGCUGCCAACUCCAAAUCAUGAGUCGGGUAAUUCUUUUCAUGCUCUUUCAGCUGUCGAGACGCAUAUGCUAUCACCUUUUCUCUUUGGGUCAAAACACAACCCAAUCCAACACCAGACGCAUCGCUAUAAACAGCGAAGUCUUCAACUCCAUCGGGUAGAGAAAGUAUCGGUGCCUCGCAUAGCUUCUUCUUUAACUUCUCGAAUGCUUCUUUAUGCUUCUCACUCCAAGCAUAAGUAGCUCCUUUGUGGGUCAAAGCUGUUAAUGGAGUAGCAAUCGAAGAAAAGCCUUGGAUAAACCUUCGGUAAUAUCCGGCUAAUCCUAAAAAGCUUCGAAUCUCCGUGGGACUUUUCGGUUGUUCCCACUUCGUCACAGCUUCGAUCUUCGCUGGAUCAACCAUUAUCCCUUCUUGGUUGACCACGUGACCCAAGAAUUGGACUUCACGAAUCCAAAAAUCACAUUUGGAGAACUUCGCAUAAAGCUUCUCCUUCUUCAAAACUUCUAACACUUCUCGCAAGUGUCUGCCAUGCUCCUCCUGGCUUUUCGAGUAGAUCAGAAUGUCGUCUAUGAACACUAUCACGGAUUUAUCAAGGAAAGGAUUACAAACCCUAUUCAUCAAAUCCAUGAACGCUGCUGGAGCAUUGGUUAGUCCAAACGACAUAACCAAGAACUCGUAGUGUCCAUAUCUAGUUCUGAAUGCAGUCUUCUCGAUAUCUUGCUCUCUUACUUUCAGCUGAUGAUAUCCUGACCUAAGAUCGAUCUUCGAGAAAUAGCUCGAACCUUGCAAUUGAUCAAACAGGUCAUCAAUCCUCGGCAACGGAUAUCUAUUCUUUAUUGUUGCCUUGUUCAGCUCUCUGUAAUCGAUGCACAUUCUCAUACUUCCAUCUUUCUUCUUUACAAAUAACACCGGAGCUCCCCAGGGCGAUGAACUAGGUCUAAUGAAACCUUUGUCCAAUAACUCCUGAAGUUGCAUCAUUAGCUCCUUCAUCUCCGUCGGUGCUAAUCGAUAAGGUGCUUUUGCUAUUGGCGUGGUUCCUGGUAACAAGUCUAUUCUGAACUCCACUUGUCUAUCAGGUGGUAAUCCAGGAAGAUCCUCGGGAAAUACUUCCGGAUAAUCACACACCACUGGAAUGCUCUGCAUCACCUUCUUUUCUUUCUUAGCAUCAAUCACGAAUGCUAAAUAUGAUGUACAUCCCUUGGUCAAACACUUUCUGGCUUUCAUUAGAGAAAUGAUUCCAGAAUUCACUCUGCGUUUGUCCCCAUACACCAUAAACGAAUCUUUUCCAGGCGGGUUUACUUUAACUAUCUUCUUCUUGCACAAAAUUUCGGCAUCAUUGGCGCUAAGCCAAUCCAUUCCCAAGACGAUGUCGAAACCAUUUAGUUCGAUAGGCAAUAAUUCCUCGAGAAACUUAUUCCCAUUAAGGUCGAUCAAGACGUUUUUCAUACGAUGGCUAACAGGUACAAACUUGCCACUAGCUACUUCGACUAAUAAAGCAUUAUUUAGUCUAUCAACAGGCAAAGCUAGCUUUCUACCAAACUCAUGCGAAAUAAAGGAGUAGUUGGCUCCAGAAUCAAACAAUAUAUGAGCAGGUAAUUCGUUUACGAGAAAGGUACCUGAAGCGACAUCAGCUUCAUCUUUCGCAGCCUCAAGUGUCAUCUGGAAGGCUCUCGCCUUCGGCUUUGGUGGAAUGUUGGGCCUAGCUGCCUCCUUCUUCUUCGGACAGUCUUUCAAAAUAUGCCCCUCUUCAUUACAACCAAAACACAUCCUUUUGUUGUUCGGACAUUCAUUGGCAAAAUGUCCAACCUUUCCACACUUGUAGCAGGUCACAUCCUCGCUACAUUUCCCAAAGUGCUUUUUCUUACACUUAUCACACCACUUCGCUUCGCCUCCCUUUCCUCCAAACUUUUUCGAAUCAGAUUUUGAAAAUUUGCCCUUCUUACCGGAACCAGAUGUUCCCUCAAACUUUCUCUUCUUACCAACCUCAACUUUGUCGGUGGUUCUCCCCUUAAUCAUGUUUUCAACAGACUUGGCAGCCCAGAUAGCUGCCUCUAGAGUAAGUGCCUGACGUACCGGCACCUCGUACUCCCAUGGAAGUCCCUUCGCAUACCGAUCCACCUUUGUCAGCUCGUCUGGAACGAUACGCAAGGCAAACUCCAUCUUAUCGGUGAAGUUAUUGGUGUAUUCAUCAACUGACAUGCUACCCUUCGUCAAUGUCAAAAACUUGUUCUCCAACUCCAACAGAUUUUGAGCCGAGCAGAACUUGCGCUUGAACUGCACCAAGAACUCUGCCCAUGUCAAUUGCAGUGGCUCAUUAGGGCUUAAAGUCUUCCCUAGAGUGUUCCACCAACGAACGGCUCCACCUCGGAAUUGACACACUGCAUAGAUAGUCUGCAAGUUGUCUCUGCAGCCACAAGUCAUGAAGGCUAACUCUCAUCUGUUUAUUACACACCAACUAUCUACCCAUGUUCUACCCAACAUAUUAGUAGAUAAAAUAUACAUUUUUAUACAUAGUUUAAAAACCUGUAUAGCAUGCUUUAAUCAAUACAUAUUCCACAUAACAGAUGAGGCACACACACACAUAACACGUAUCUCAUAGAGAAUAAAUCAUAUCUAUGAGAUAGAAGAAAGUGAAUACACAUUCACACACAUAACCACAAAAUUAUACACAUAAUACGUAUUCCGUAUAAAAUACUUCAUAAUUAUGCGUUAGAAGAAAGUGACUACACACUCACACAUAUAAACAACAAUAUACUUAAUACACUCAAACCAUACUUGUAUUAUUAUCGUGUUUAUGAAAGGUAGUAUACACUCACUUGAUCAGAAGAUGAUCGGACAGCACUACGACUUGCAGAAGUAGUAAUCCUCAGCAGAUCUGGAAGAUCUUCACAAAAAUCGAACUUCUCGCGGGCAGAGCUUCGGCUCGGGAACCGCACUUCUCGGGAUCUUCGGGAUCUCGGGACUUGCUUCGGGGCUCGAGAAUAAUACCGGGGCUUCGGGGUAUUUCUGGCACGCAAAUCGAUGCAAAACGGGAGAGAGAAGAGAGAAAAGAGCAAAAGAACUCGGCUGCCCUCGCAUCCUAUUUAUAGGAGGCUGGAGCCUCGGAGUACGCGGGGCGUACUGCUCCAAAAUCGUCACUUCUUACGUAUCCGAAGUGCUCGAGUGCGAGUGUCGACAUUCCUCGGUGUACGCGGGGCGUACUUCGGAUGAGUCCGAUGACUCCUCUUCGGAUAAUGCCGGAUUUUCUAAUUAAAUUUAAAUACAAAUUAUUUAAUAAACUUCGGAAAUUCAUAUCUUCUUCAUACGAACUCCGUUUUCGACGUUCUUUAUAUCCACGCGAAGGUGAGACUACGCUCUACAACUUUCGUUUAGACUCCGUCGGCUAAUUUUAACUUUAUUUUUAUUAUUUAUUUUUAAUAGGCCGGGACAGAAAAACUUCGUUAUAAAUUCAUAACUUCUUCGUUUGACGUCCGUUCUCGCCUAACUUUUUAUCGCUUCGAUACCAACAACGAGAUCUUCGAUUCUCGUUUAGAUCGAUUCGACUAAAAACCGCUCGAUCUCAAAUCGAAUAUUUCAGGCUGCAUACCGCUAAGUCGAAACUUCAAUAAAUCAUAACUUCCUCAUACAAAGUCACAUUUGGGCGUUCUUUAUAUAUUCGGAAACCUCGUUUCAACUACUACAACAUUAUCCAAAGAUAUCAAGUUUAUUUUACACUUAAGUUUUGACGCUUAUUUUUAUUCUUGAUUAAUCAAACCACAUAAUUAAGCAAUUAAGCACAAAACACAUAAUAAUCAAAUAAUACAAUCUUAUUAUUUCAAAACGGGUUACAAAGGUUAACCUAGACUAUUACAUUUCUAAAAAUGGCAAACCCGGAAACACAGGCGUUACAUGCAUGAUUUGAUGAGUGAAUAGUAAAUGCAUAUAAGUCGAAGUUUAUCUAUUCCUUUUAUCCUAAGAGGGUAAAAGCGAUAUUUGGGCCCCUCGAUGAUUUGGUUUGAAUUAUGUGUCGGGCCCGAUCAGGACUGAAUUGAUGUGUUCAAUUAAGUUCUAUGUCAUACGAAUCAGAGAUCGAGAAGCGAACUGUUGGAUAAUAAGUAUGACUAUGUUCCAUGUAAUUGUCCACACGAUAUCUUGAACGGAGGACUAUACGAUCCCUUGUCUAAAGGACGAGUCAGAGUUCGACAGCGGCUUUUGAGAGCUAUGAUUGUUAACCGAAUCCUGAAGUUGUACUUGUAUUUAUAGUUAUUAGACUUAUCCAAGUGGGAGACUGUUGGAUUAGUGUCUAAGUCCAUAACUAUAUUUGGUAUGUACUUGACCCGGUUGUAGCGUGGUCCUUUUGGGUUGCCUUUACCAAAGCAACUGGACUGGAUGAUGUAUGGAGAGAGAGGAUAUUAUGGUUUAUUAAUAUAUUAUAAAAAUAGUAUAUUAAAAGAGAAAUCAUAUUGUUUAAUUAAUAUUGGUCAAGAGUUAAUUAAGAAUUAAUUUUGUGGCUAAAGGAUAUUAAUUGAACUAAGGGGACUGGAAUUGCAAUUAUAAGAUAAUUGGAUUUUGGGCCGUGGAUCUCUUGGAUAAUAGGGUGGAAGAUUUUAAGGUGGAAGCCCACUUAAAAAUCGUCCAAGGCCUUGUUCUAGAGGGUUCCAUUAGACUACUUAAGGCCUAAGCUAUCCAAUUAGGGUUUUAACUGAAACCCUAGCAGCACACAUAUGUAAAGAACCCAGGGCUUCAUAUUUCGGCUACCCAAGAAACCCUAGAGUUCUAAGAGCAGAAAUUGUGCCUCCAUUCCCUCUCUUCUAGAUCAUCUUCUUUCCUUGGUGUUUUUAAGCCAUUAGAGGUAUUACAAUUGUGAUACUAAGCUCUUGAAGUUGAAGAUUCUUGCUACUUGUGAAAGGUAAUCAUCUAAACUUGUUUUAGUUGUUAAUUUCAUAUUUUGUAUGCUAGAUCUAGGGUUUUUAAGCUUUGGAUAAAUUUGCAUGUACAAUAGAGAAACCUAGAUCCAAAGCUUUAGAGUUUUACAUGUGCACCAUUGGAUUGUUGUUUUGCUCAAAACCUAUUAGGAGGCCCCAUCUCAUCGAGUAGAGGCGAAUCUUGGAUGCGGGUGGAAGAGUCUACUCGCCGAGUUGGAAGCCCCGACUCAACGAGUAGAUCUGUAUAGAUGAAACCCUAAAUUUUAGGGUUUGCACCCUAUUUAAACACAUUAACAAGCCUCCCAUGCAGCCCCCAUCAUCUCCCUUAGUCCAGGAACCCCUAACUCGUGACCCUUGAGCUUUGAGAAGUGUGUGGGUCAUUUUUUACAGUGUUUGUGUGAUCUUGAAGCUAUAGGAAGAAGAAGAAGGAGCUAGAAGGUUCAACGAAGCAGUAGAUCCUGGGUUCAAGCUCCAUUUCCAAUCCCAUUGAGGUAUAAAGUUGCUUCCUUGACUUCCUUAUUGCUAGAUCUCUCCAUGUUUGAGUUUAGGGCCAUCUUUUAGCAAUUUGUAAACCUUUUUGGAGUAUGGAGUGUGAUCUAAAGUUGUAACUUCAGAUCCAGAUCCCUUUCACCCCUAUAGCCAUAAAGUUUACGAAUUUAUCAUGCUUUAGCCCUUCCCUUUGGCCUAGACUUCAUUUUAAACUUGGAAAUGGUGUUUUUGGCUCAUAACACCUUGCAUGCACUUAAAGUUUGUAAUUUUACGUGUAAUAUUGACUCUAGGAGGUCAGAUCUACGUUUAGGAUGUGUUAAUCCCGACUGAAAUAAUUGUAUAGACUUGGACUUUAGGGGAAUUGAUGAGUCGUUCGUAGGACUCGACGAGUCAGGUCAUGGUUCCCCAAACUUUUCUGUUUCUGAGCAAUCUGGUUGAGUCUAGAAGAGGACUCAACAAGUUGGACGUGAAUAUGGACUUGAAGAUCAAACAACUCGACGAGUUCAAGGAUGAACUCAGUGAGUUCAAGGCAAUUUCAUAACUUAUAUGAAGAAGAACUCGACGAGUUCAAGGAAGAACUCGGCGAGUCAAGGACUAAACAUUUCAACUUGUACGAAGCAGUACUCGACGAGUUCAAGGAUGAACUCGGCAAGUCAUGAGCAAAAGGGUCCCCGAUUAUGUAUGAAGGAGAACUCGACGAGUUCCUCAAAGACUCGACGAGUAGGAUCGAAGAUCCAGUGUUUUGUGGAAUAAGGAACUCGACGAGUUGAGUAAACCAGAAGUUGACUCUGACAAGGGUGUUGACCAUGACUUUGAUCUCCACCUGAUUUGACUCCCGAAAGGGUUAUGAGUAUGAAAUGGUAAUUAAGGAAGGUUGUUAUGUGUAGGAGUUUGAAGAAUUUGAGAGGAGUUGAUCCCAACACCGAGGACAGUUCAGAUACUACAUGACAUUGAGGUGAGUUAACUUCCAGUAGAAGUGACUCUAACGCACAAAUGCCGACCCACUAGUAGGUGAUUAUAGAUGAGAUUAUUGUCUUUGUGAUAAUUGUCUAGUAUGCCACUAUCUGAUAUAUUUUAUGUGGCGGUAUGCUAUAUUAUUAUGUGGUAGUGGUAGGGGUGAAAUAGUCCCCGGUUACCGGUUGAAAGAGACUGAAGGGGAGGCCAGCACCCAGAUAUGCUAGACAGUAUAUGAUAGUGAUGUUAUGCUAGAUUAUUAUGUGGUAGUGGUAGGGGUAGGGGUGAAAUAGUCCCCGGUUACCGGUUGAAAGAGACUAAAGGGGUGGCCGGCACCUAGAUAUGCUAGGCAGGUUACCAGUUGAAAGAGAUCGAAGGGGAGGCCAGCACGCAGAUAUGCUAGGCAUUAUGUGAUUAUAUGGUAUGUGGUAUGAUGGGGGAACUCACUAAGCUUCAUUCUUACAUUUUUCAGUUUUGUUUUCAGGUAACUCUUCAUCGAAGGGGAAGGAGUCGGCACGAUAGCAGCGCAUCACACACACAAGAUUUCCGCAUUAUGAGAUUCAUGGCAUUGUAUUAUAACAUUAUUACUAUUUGUAUGAUACGGUUUUGAGACAUGUGAUUAUGGUUUUAUGAAAUGAUGUGACUCAAUGAUGUUUUCUUAUAAAUGUUUUUCUAAAUCGUUAUAUCAAACAUGAAAUUUUUGGUCUUGAAAAUUAGGAUGUUACAACAAUGAGGGAUGGUUCUAGAUCUACAAACUUGCAAGCAACAACUCCUUCUUCUCUACCCUCCUUCUUAAACAAUAUGCACCAAAAUCACUUAAUAAGCUCCCAAACUCAUAGAAACAACUUAGACCCGGGGAUUAGGGUUUGAGGAGAGAAUGGUGGCUGAUAAGGAUAGUCCAAGGGAGGUAUAAGGUAAUUUAAAAAGAGAGUAACCCUUAAAAUUAGGGUUUAAUGACGGGGCUAGUACGCCCGACGUACCACACCUACGCCUAGCGUACUAGCAAGACACCUGCGAUCCCACAUCACACGAGUAUGUUGCGCGUACCCUCAAGUACGCCCAACGUACGAAUAAAAUAGUGAAGCCUUUACCACAAGGGAUCAAUUGUGCAACUUUGAUAAAGUUAAGCACUAAAAAAAUAAUACAUGAUAUUCAGAUGUUUGCAAAUCAUUCCUUUAGUUCCUAAAAGUAAAGUAUAUAAUAACAAUAUNNNNNNNNNNNNNNNNNNNNNNNNNNNNNNNNNNNNNNNNNNNNNNNNNNNNNNNNNNNNNNNNNNNNNNNNNNNNNNNNNNNNNNNNNNNNNNNNNNNNNNNNNNNNNNNNNNNNNNNNNNNNNNNNNNNNNNNNNNNNNNNNNNNNNNNNNNNNNNNNNNNNNNNNNNNNNNNNNNNNNNNNNNNNNNNNNNNNNNNNNNNNNNNNNNNNNNNNNNNNNNNNNNNNNNNNNNNNNNNNNNNNNNNNNNNNNNNNNNNNNNNNNNNNNNNNNNNNNNNNNNNNNNNNNNNNNNNNNNNNNNNNNNNNNNNNNNNNNNNNNNNNNNNNNNNNNNNNNNNNNNNNNNNNNNNNNNNNNNNNNNNNNNNNNNNNNNNNNNNNNNNNNNNNNNNNNNNNNNNNNNNNNNNNNNNNNNNNNNNNNNNNNNNNNNNNNNNNNNNNNNNNNNNNNNNNNNNNNNNAAGAUGUGUGUGUGUGUGUGUAUAUAUAUAUAUAUAUAUAUAUAUAUAUAUAUAUAUAGGGUUGAGAUCGGUUGACAACUCAUAGUUUUUCGAGAACUCGAGAACUAAAAGUGGAGCGUUGGAUUAAAAGUAAUUCAUUAAGGACAUGAUCAUCAUCUUACCAAUCUCAUUUAAUGUUUAAUUUUUUUUGUUAUUUAAUAUAUUAAUAUAAAUGUCCAAAAAUUUACAUCAUAAAUCAAAUUUUCAAUUUCUUUUAAAUAUAGUUUUUUUUUUGUUUUUUUUUAAUGCAGAUUUUGUAAUUUUUUAUAGAAAACAUGAAUUUUGAAAAAAAAAAUUGAAAAAAAUAUAUUUUUUAAAAAACUGCAAUUUUUAAAAGAAAACUACAUGUUUUUCUUUCAAAAAAAACUACAAUUUUUCUAAUGAAAACUGAAUUUUUUUCAAAAAAAAUUGCAGUUUUUUUAAAGAAAGUUAAAUUUUUUUUCAAAAAAAAAUUGCAUUUAAAAAAUAGACCAAACCAAAAUACCUUGAUUAUAGCCAUAUAUGACUUCUUGUUUGGUCCUUUAGUAUAAGGAACUAACAACAUAAGAUCCUUCUCCACAUCCACAAAGAUAGAUGAUACUUACAUGAAUAAUUUAUUCAUGGUGCACAGAUUUAACAUCAAAAAUAUCUAUAAAAUUACUAUCUGACAGAAUUAUUGAACAUAUAAAUAGAUUAUAAUGUGUAGAUAUCAAAUGAAUCUAGCAAAGACUCACUAAAGCAAAUCAAAAUCCUAGAAAUCCUGCUUCAUAAACUCGAAGAAAGAGGUUAUUAAAAACAACACUUAGGUUGAAUGAUCUGGAUCAAUAAAAUGUAUUUCGGGGACAAAGUUUUCUAACAUUGGAACCUUGCCAUGUCUGCAGAUAGUGGACUGUAAUGCUUUGCCUACUAUUAUUCUAAUGUUGCAAUACACUAUGAAGCAGUUAGUUCUAGUUUUUAAAUUCACUUUUUUUUUUCUUUUCAGCUCAUAAGAUUGCGUGUAUCUAGGAAUGAUUUCUGAAUGGUACAUCUUAGGUUGGUGUGAUUGGGAAUCUUGUCCUUUCAUCCCCCAACAUUACGAAGGAAGUUCUUCUUGCUGGAGCAUUACAACUUGUAAUUGAAUUACUCAAGUAAUGUGUGAUACCUACCUUUAAAGGGUUGCAUUCAAAAACUGCAACUUCCUUCCGUCUAUGCCUAAAACUAUGCUUUUGGAACUCUACAUAAGAUCAGCCUUGAACUAUCAAACAAAAUUGGCUUAUUUUGAUAGCAAAGUUAAAAGACAGAACACAUGAGGCUCAUUAAAUGUCACCCAAUAGUCAACAUGUUCAAACACACAAUCAACAACCACUCUGCAACAUAUUUAAAACCUACCAUCUUAUUGUUACCUAAUAAUAACAAACAAAUAUGUUGUAAAUCAACACAAGAACAGAUAAGGGCUCUCGAUUGGAAGAGAUUCAAAUUCCAAAGAACAUACACAAACAAAUAUAUCAAAACGAAGAAGUAAGAACCAAUUGAACCAGAAAGAAAAUAUACGAAAAUUAGGAUUCUGAGUGAAUCACAGCAAUAGAAAACAGAUGAGCGUAGAGAGACUAAGCAACAAAUACUUAAAUUUAAUCAACAAAUCAACUAUGAACAAAUCAUACCAUUUAUAUAUUGUUGCUACAUAAUUUGGCCACCAAAUUAACUAAUCAAAAUUAACACACAAAAAUAACAAAGGUGCAUCGUAACAUUGAUGAAUUAAAACAACAAAAAUCACCUGAAAACGUUUCUCGUUUAUAAAAGAUGCACCAUCAUUAUGUAGAAGAAGAGGAAACGACGAUUAAGAUAUCGUCGCUUUUAGAUAAACGGAAAACCUGAUGUCUUCACUCCCCGACCUUUCCAAUUAAGAAGAAGAAGACCUGAUUGUUUGAAGUUAUUACAUCACCGUGGCCUUAACUGGGAUAAUCGCAAUCCAACUGAUGGAGUAGGAAAAUUCGAUCUGAUUAAUGAAUGAUGAUGAAUCUGGUGAUUUAGGGCUUCGACUAUCACAAUCGAAGAUGAACACAAAUGGUGUCGAUCUGUUAGUUCGUAAAUUCGGCGUCGAUGAUCUAGAUAUUAAGGAAUGUUGAUUGGUAGUAGAUGUUGAUCGUCGCUGGAGGUAGAAGACGUUGAUUGAGGGACGAGGGAGAAGAUCGCUAGAAGAGAAGAGAUAUGGUGGAGAGAGAGAGAGAGAGAGAAUUUUUAUAACCCUAAAAUGCCCCUAAUGCCAUUUAGUUUUGAUGCCCCGUCCUUUAUUUUUCCACUUAUUUACAAAAAUACCACAAUACAUCUUGGUCAUCCUUUUUUUUUAUCCGACGCUCCAUUUUUGGUUCUCAUGUUCUUAGGAAAUCGUGAGUUCUCAUNNNNNNNNNNNNNNNNNNNNNNNNNNNNNNNNNNNNNNNUAUAUAUAUAUAUAGAGAGAGAGAGAGAGAGAGAGAGAGAAAUUUCGAUAGAUAACCAAAAAGGAUGGGGUUUUUUAAGAAAAUGACCAUGUAAAUGAGGAUUUUGGAAAAUGACCACAGGUUCCACAGAGGGGGUUCUGCGGAACCAUAAACACCUCUGUGGAACCAUGAACACCUCUGCAGAUCUUGGUUUUUUUAUUUUUUAUUUUUUUCGUUUUUUUUUAUUUUUGUUUUCGUUUAUUAAUUAUAUUAUUUUUUUAAUCGCAUACGGUAUUAUGUGAUUAUUAUGUAAGAGAAAUUUGUUUUCAUUUUUCGUUUUCUUAUUUAAUUACCUGUUUGUUUAAUAAAAAUUAUACAAAUAUUUCAUGUUUUAUAUAAAAUCACACACACCGGUAUUCUGAAUAAUAAACAUACUUUAAUAAACAUACACAUACAACCUUCAUAAUAAACAUACUUUGAAAUAAAAUUCAUUCAUUCAAAUCGAACCAUGGAAACUUUGAUCUGUUUUCGUAUUCCAUCCAUGAGUUUUCUGAUAUUUGUGUCCCUAGGUUUACUGUCGCUUACGUCCAUUGCUUAUCUGGCUCUUGCAGUCAUUGGUACUCGGUGCAACCCUACCAUUGGUUUUGUGGCUCUUCAUGCGAUUGGUAUUCGGUCCCUUGUGUCCAUUGGUUAUGUGGCUCCUGCUGCCAUUGAUGUUCGAUAUGUUGUGUCCAUUGGUUGUCUGGCUGUUGUUACCAUUGAUGUUAGGUCUGUUGUGUCCAUUGGUUGUCUGGCUUUUGUUGCCAUUGUUGUUCGGUAUGUUGUGUCACAUUAGCUUUCUCUACGACCCUUGAACGGUGUCCAUCACAUUGGCUUUCUCUACGACCUCUAUUAGUUUUUGUUGGAUUAAACUGGUUGUUAACCACUGCUUGUUCUUCAGCUUCUUCACCUACCACCGUUAAAUACAAAUGCACCGUCUUCUUUUAUUCAGACAUUACAUGUCUCAGUUGAAAUACAUCAGUUUCAUCUCCAAGCUCCAUGACAUACCCUAACUUUGGGUGUUUAAAAGACAAACAUAUAUGACUAUUUAACACACAUGCCUUACUUCUAACCGUUUGUAAUAACAUUUCAUGGUCAAUGUUAAGAGGAAGAUUUAAACCAUAGUUUUUCACAUUAUUUCUAACGUAAACCUCAUCUUCAUUAACUAACUGCCACGACCCUCCCGUACACAAAAUAAUAAAACUCAUUUUACAAAUCACUCUCCACAAACACAAUAAAAAACAACUUCUACUGGUAAUUGAAACUCACAAACUCAUAAAAAAACCACUUAAAUACUUCUAUAACUGAUCCACAGAGGUGUAUACUGGUCCGCAUAGGUGUACACGGAUCCACAGAUGUGUACAUUGAUUUGCAGAAAACAGUUCUGCGUAUUUCCUAACAGUUAUGCAGAGGUGUACACUGAUCCGCAGAAAACAUUUCUGCGUAUUCCCUAACAGUUAUGCAGAAGUGUACACUGAUCCACUGAAAACAGUUCUAUAACUGAUCUGCAGAGGUGUACAUUGAUCUGCAGAGGUGUACACUGAUCCGCAGAAAACAGUUCUUACAUGGCUAAGUGAUGUGUCAAAAACUCCUUACCUGGACUUCUGCAUAUCAAAGUUUUCGUGGUUCGAUUUGAAUGAAUGAAGUUUAAGUCUAAGUAUGUUUAUUAUGAAGGUUGUAACAGAUCAAAGUUUUUGUGGUUCGAUUUGAAUGAAUGGAGUUUAAGUCUAAGUAUGUUUAUUAUGAAGGUUGUAACAGAUCAAAGUUUUCGUGGUUCGAUUUGAAUAAAUGAAGUUUAUUUCAAAGUAUGUUUAUUAUGAAGAUUGUAUGUUUAUGUUUUCUAAAGUAUGUUUUGUAACCUACUUAAAGUAUGUUUAUUAUUCAGAAUACCAUUGUGUGUAAUUUUAUUUAAAACAUGGAAUAUUUGUAUAAUUUUUAUUAAACACACAACUUUUUUAAAGAAAUAAUUAAAUAAGAAAAUGAAAAAACGAAAUCAAAUUUUUUUUACAUAAUAAUCACAUAAUACCUUAUGUGAUUAAAAAAAUACUAAUAUUAAACAAAAAUAAAAAAACGAAAAAAAAAAAACCAAGAUCUGCAGAGGUGUUCAUGGUUCCGCAGAACCCCUCUGCGGAACCUGUGGUCAUUUUGCAAAAUCCUCAUUUACAUGGGUUUUUUUUCAAAAUCCCANNNNNNNNNNNNNNNNNNNNNNNNNNNNNNNNNNNNNNNNNNNNNNNNNNNNNNNNNNNNNNNNNNNNNNNNNNNNNNNNNNNNNNNNNNNNNNNNNNNNNNNNNNNNNNNNNNNNNNNNNNNNNNNNNNNNNNNNNNNNNNNNNNNNNNNNNNNNNNNNNNNNNNNNNNNNNNNNNNNNNNNNNNNNNNNNNNNNNNNNNNNNNNNNNNNNNNNNNNNNNNNNNNNNNNNNNNNNNNNNNNAUAUAUAAUAGCCAAUCAAAACCUGCCAAAUGUUUACGUCAUGGUUGUGAAAAAUGGGUUUGCGUUCUAACGUUUUCUUCAAUUGGUUGUCUAUCUGUACACAUUUUUUUGUUUUUUUGGCAUUUUGUCCUUCCAUAUACCGUAUACCACCAAUAAACAUGGUCUCAGAAAUUCAACAUAACAGUAAAUUAUAAUUUCCAUUAGUUUGUAAUAUCUAUUUCUAAGAUAUGGUCUAAAGAAUCUCUAUGUCUUUUUUCCCCCAAUUUACUAAAUAGCAUCUUUUACCAAUUAUCCAAAGUUUCACAAAAUAUUAUUAGAUUUAUAAAAAUAAGAGUAAAUGACAAAUUUCAUUGUUGUUUAUUCAAAAUCAUAAGUUUAAUUAAUUUGUUAUAUCUAUUUCUAAGAUAUGUUCUAAAGAAUCUACGUAUCCUCUUUUUUCAAUUCACUACAUAGCAUCUUUUAAACAGUUAUCUAAAUUUUCACAAACUAUUAUUAGAUUUAUAAAAAAUAAGAGUAAACGACAAAAAUUCUUUGUUGGUUUUUCAAAAUCAUAAGUUUAGUCAAAAAAUUGAAUGUCUCGUUGUCGUCCUUAAAUUUUCAUUUUGACAUUGUGUUAACUGUUAAGUGUUAUGGACAGAAAAGUGAUUCGUACACAACAAUUUUUUGCCAUACACAACAAUUCAUGUAUUAUAUAGUUGUACAAUACAACAUUUUAAAGCACCAAUUGUUGUGUAUGUGUAUGGAGAAAAUUGUUAAUAUUGAAUUUAUUAUUUUAACUAAACCAUAAGAAGUUACGAACAAUCGUCCGCAACGAAAAUUUAAACUUAAGAUUAGACUAAAUGCAAAAUUUUAAAUAGAACAUAAAAGACUAAAUCUAUAAUUACUCUAAAAAUAAUUAAUCUGUAAUUACUCUAAAAAUUUUGAACAUCGAACUUUCGAAUAUUAGCAUGUUUGUAGGUUUUGUCGUUACCCUUUUAUAUGCCAACAAGUUUAAUGAACAAUAUUCUUUUGGAGUUUUGGACUUUUGCCACUUAUCUUUUUAGAUUUGAUGUUUUGCCGAAAGUUUUUGGAUAUUGGCGUAUUUAUUCCUUGUAAUUAUAUAAUUUAUAGAAAAAGUCCUUAAGCGUUUUUUUUUUCUUUUUUUUUUCUUACAAAAACAAUCCNAUAAUCCAUGUCUAACAGAAAAUUUGCAGAUUACGCCUCCACCGAACGUCUCCACAAUAUGUUGUCAUGUUUUGUCCCUACACUUUUUUGUUUUCACGCUUUGGCCACAUGAGUUUUGUAUAUUUGCAUGUUUGCUCCCUACACUUUCGUAGUUACACAAUUUGUGCCCCUUCCCCUGCGAAACUUCUCUUGCGUUCCUCGCAAAGUGUGAAUGAAGCGAUUUCUAGUUAAGAUAAAAUGCCUAAUUUAUAACAGAUCUAAGAUGAAGAAGGAAAUGCAUUUUAUAUGAGUCUUCUAGUUUUGAUUCUAGAAAUAGGUUUUAUAGAUUGGAAAAAGAUACAUGAUUUGGUACCAAUAUAAAAGAUUAAUUCUUCAAAUGAGUUUUACUGGUUGAUGACGAUGAAGAAACUUUUUUUUUCAAAUCAAACCCAGUAACCCACCCUCCCCUCCCUCGACCAUCUGUUCUAAAAACCACCAUAGCAAUUUUUGCAACCCACCGAACACCUCCACUGUAACAUCCUAAAUUUAAGACUGGAUUAUUAAAUUAAUUAAGCAAAUAAAUGAAAGAUGAUUUAUUUAAAUAAAUCAUUAUGGGUUAAUCAUACCAUUAAUUUAUAUGCAGUUUAGAAAGUUAGAAGAGGAAAUAAUAACAUUUUUAAAGGUUAAAGGGCCAAAGGUGUCAAGUUGGCAAAGUGAGUUGAACAAAGUGUUGACUCAAUUAAUGAGAUGGACUAUAAAAGUUAUAUAAUGGAUGGAGAAGGAAUUUAUCAUAACUUAAGUUAAAAUAAAAAAAAAUAUUAAAUUUUGGUGGGUUUUGGCUAGCACGAGUAUUCUUGAGGGACCAAAUAUGAAAAAUAAAGGAAAUAAGAUGCAAGCCUUCUUUAUUCCCUCUUCCAAAUCAUGUUUUGCAUCCUAAUGGCUUUAUAAAUGGUGAUUUUCAUCUUCUCUCCACCUAGGGCAUGAUUCAAGUGGAGAAUUAAACAAUCAAGCAAAGAAGAGAAGGAAUUAAGGCUUACAAGGUAAACAUCUUUUCCCUAUUUAGCCUAGAAAUCGAGUUAGUGAAGUGGGUAAAACCCCAAUGUUGAAAUUGAUGAGAUUCAAUGAUUAGGGUUUUGGUUUCUAACAUCCCUUGAGUAGUUUUGAUGAUCCCAAUCUCAAUAUAAUCAUCCCAUUGAUGAAUUUGAUGAUUUAGGUGAAAACCUUUAUGAAUCCUAGAAACCUAAUGUAACACUCCAAAUCAGGUAAACCAUUUUAACCUGUUUAAAUAAUUCAGUUGGCAAAAAUGGUCCCUUUUAGUAUGUUGGGCAUACUUAAGGGUAUGCUUAGCGUACCAUGGAGGAAGGAUCACGGAGGAGUUUCGCAUAAGCGGGGCGUACAUAUAGGUACGCGGGGCAUACGCGACAGAGGACCAAACCCUAAUUUUCGGACUUAAGACCUAUAUAAGCAUCCUUAUCUCAUUUGAGCCUCACCCUAACUAGCCUCCUUCACCCUCAAACGUCCCUGAAAACCCUAAAAUCAUUAGAGUAUGUGCUCUUGAGCUUGUGAGGGUUUAAACACCAUUCUUUUGGUGUGUUAGUUACAAGGAAGAGGAGGAAACAAUCUUGAACGAAGAAGUGUUUAUGGAUCUUACAUUUUGAGCAGCCUAGGAAGCUUAAGGAGGAAAAAAACUUUCACCUUGGUCAUCAUUUUCAUUUCUAGAGAUAGGGUUUUCUCUUGAGUCCUUUUUUGUGUUCUUGGACCACAUCUUGAGAGUUUGAGCAACUCCAUAACUUAGGGAGGAUCGAUAUGAGGUCCUUUGGUCCAUUCUUAGCAUAAAAAAGGAAUCUUGAUGCGUGUUUUGACCUUAUGCAUGAAUUAAGACUCUUGGAAAGGUCUUAAUGGGUUGUUGGGAGCAUAUGGAACAUGCAAAGGCAUAAAUUUGCCAACUUUAUGCCUUAGGACAUCUUAAUGAACUCAGAUCUACAGAUUGGACGUUGGAACAUCAAGUAAUAAGCACUUAAUGGAAAAAGGUGCUUAAUCUGUUUGUACGUUGGGCGUAGUAUAGUGUACGCAGCGCGUACAACUCAUGGACUGAGUACGCUAAGCGUACAGGAGUGGUACUUGGAUUUGUUUUGGGCUUGAAAGCUCUUUGGGCCUUAAUCAGUCAUUGGGCGUGGCCAUGUUUUGAGUUAGUGGGCCAAUUUAUCUGUUUUGGGCCAUGAUUGCUAUGGUUGGGCUUUAUUGGGCCAUGCGGCCCAUUAAUGAUUUUUGGACAUGAACUUUGGGCCCAUUAGCAAUGGGAAACUUUUGGGCCAUUAUGGUAGGACUUGGGGCUUGGGUUCUUUAAUUGGAUUAUACUCAACCCUAACCUUGGGUUAAUGGUAUUAUUGUUCAGCAUGGGUGGUUACGGACUAUUAGGAGAGAAACUUUCAAAUUCAACAAAUAGAGGUAAGUCUCCCCACCAUACUAAUGGGUCGAAGGCACCAAGUCCGACCCAUUUAGUUUGUGGUAUGAUGAUAUAUGGUUCAUUAGAAUGGCCUUGACUGCUCUAGAGUGCCAGCCUGGCCCGGCGCACUCCUACCUGCCCUGCCUGGCGUUCCCUUGCCAACCCUGUAUGGCGCUCCCUUUCCAUCGAUGAUGGGGACUCUCUUGUUGGCCCGACCCAUCGCUCCCUUGCCUAGAGCCCCCUUGCCGCCUUUCCUGGUGUACGCCCGUCAGCCUUUCCUGGGGCGCGUCCGCCAGCCCUACUCGGCGCCUCCGGGCGUCCUUGCCCAUCUCUUUGCUAGUUGGGCCUAAAUUGGGCUAGCCCAAUGCCUGACCUAAUUCCACUUAACCUAAUUGUCCACUACAAAUAAAAUAGUGCCUCCUCCACAGCGAAGGACACUUCCCCAAAUGGCUCAGCCGCCACUAGACCUCUCCCCAUGGCUCAGCCACCAUACUAUACACCGGCCGGGUGACUCAGCCGCUACCCACCGCCGCCGUCAGCCACCAUACACCGCCACCAACACCAGGAUGGUUCUCUCUAGCUAAGGAGGACCAUCUCAGAUCUACAAGCUGAUCUAACUUGAUCGUCGAAGUACGCUCCCAGGGCACAAUCCCUGGGAGGGCUCUAAUGACCUUGCCUGUUGUGACCUCACAAAUCUGUCUUCGGCGUAGAAGCUCUCCCUCACAGCAGGUGGUCGGAGCCGAAUUCGCAUCAUUUGGCGCCAUCCCGGACUCGAACGAACAACCAUCAUCUUGUUCUUGUGUAGAUCUGCUUAUAUCUGUUGUUCCAGCUCAGGUUUUCCUCAGAUCUGUUCAUUUCUAGCACUAUUUGGUUCAGAUCCAUUUGGCUUUUGCCAAAAUGUGCGCAGACGAUUUGGUUCUUGACAAGAUCUUUUCAGAUCUGUUUAACCAUCAUUUGGAUCUUAAGAUCUAUUUUUGUUCUCAAGUUCAGAUCUAUAGAUUUGUUUACGUCUUAAAGCUCAGAUCUCAGGAUCUUUUGAUUUUUUAACCCAUCUAAACAUUUAUGAAGCUUGCAAAUACAUUUUAGAUCUAUCAACGUUUUUAGCUCAGAUCUCCAGAUCUGUACGUUUUUGUUCACAUAAUCAUCUCUCAAGUUUAAAAACACCAACUCAGACCCGUUUUAUUUAUAUUUUCAGGGAGAAAAGAGGUUCAUAGGAGCUUUUCUCCAUAUUUGUCAAUAUUUUGGUGCUUUAUCUAAGCAACUUGAGAGUUGAAGAACUUUUUGAUAAAUAUUUACUUUAUUUUCAGUUAAUGUUAUAAAGAAAUCACCUCCAGUUUAUGAUUUUCUUUGCAAGACUUCUUUGAAGUUGUCUAUUUGGUGUUUUCUUCAAAAACUUAUAAAAGGAAAACAAAUAUUUUUUCUAGAUAUGUUUCUUGCUCAUAUCUUCAUAUCUUGUAGAGCAAGCUAAAAAGAAAAGGAAGUUUUAUGAAUAACACUCCACAUCAGAUCCGUUUUUAUCUAUGAUAUGGAGUUUUUUCAGCAAAUUUAGAAGAAACGAAAUUUUUUUAGUUUUACCCCAUCUUUUGUUCAUAUAUUAUCAGAAAACCCUUCUUUAGCUAUGCAUUUUUUGUAACAACUAUUUGUACACACAGCUGCGUGGCUUGUACAUUAUACAAAACCUUCAAAAAAAUAAAGAACAAGUUUUCAUGGGUUUUUACACCACCUUCAGAUCACACAUUUUCAGAAAAUUCUUUACUUAUGAUUGUUUAGAAGUUUGGAGAAAGAAAUAUGUUUCUAUUAAUUCUUACCAUUUUUGGUGAUAGUUCAUCACCAGAAAAUUGUUUUUAGAUGAGACCUUGUAUGUACAACUCAUUUUCUUGAAACAUUUGUUUGUAAAUAUUGUUAUGUUUCUUAUACAUUUCAAAAAAAACCCACAAAGUGUCAUAAACCUGUUGAUAUUUAUCCCAUUUUACCAAAAACAACUAGUUUAUCGUUACCCACUUAUAGUUCACUGUUCAAAAAAAAAAAAAAUCGUGUGUGCUUUUAUUGCAAGUAGGGCUGUUCACUAUUUGGAUAAAACCAAAUUGUGCAAUUGGACAAUUUGGAUCGGACAAUUUGGUUCGGAUAUUCGGAUUUUUAGAUUCAUUUUCAGCAAAACCGAAUUAUUAAUUUGGAUUUCGGAUUGAUUUUGGUUUAUAAACUAAGGACUGAAUAGUCCAAAAAAACCGAAUAUCAACUUAUUAUCUAUUUUUCAUAUAUAUCUUUAACUAUUUAUAAAUUAUUAUUUUUAGUUAUUAGAAACUUUUAACGAAUAUAAUACUUUAAAAUUACUUCUUAUCAAAAUGUUUUUGUCAAUGAAAUAUUAACUAUAAUAUAUAUUCUUAGUUUUUGUUCAUAAAUUAUAAUUUAUGAUAAAAAGUAGUUUCUUUAUAGAUUUUGCUAAUAUUCAGGUUAUAUAUUUUUCAACAUGCCUUGCCUCUUGAAAACCGAAUUGUAAAAACCGAUCAAACCGAAUUGUAAUUUGGUUGGAUCGGAUCGGAUUUAAAUUUAGUUUGGACUAUUCAGAUCAAUGUUUUGAAAACCGAAAUCUGUUCGGAUUCACUUGAUUGGAUCAGAUCAAACCGAUCCAUCCAAACGAACAUCCCUAAUUGCAAGAUACAUUUCAUUACCUUUUAUCACACUCAAAUACACAUUACCAUAUCACUUUCACAUUUACAGCACAAGAGAUAGUAAAAAAACAAAGGAAAUGUCAUAAAGCAAAAAAAAGGGGGGGGGGGGGGGAACAGGUCAGCACCACUAUCUGUAUACUGUCAUAAAGCAACAUCCAUGCAUUUUGAAAGACUCUAGAUGGCAGAAAAGACAAAAAGAAACCGGACCCUAGUGGGUCGCCUUCCUCCUCUCAUAGACAUUAGGCCCGUCAUCUCCAGCAUAGCCUCUUGCGCAUCACUAGUAGACAAAAUACCAUCGGCAUAUCGCUUCCGUUUUCUAGAACCACCGCCAGUGAGACCAAAAUAGUAGCUUCGAUGCCAACAACCCCUGCCACCAGUCAAUCCCAACUAGACAACCCAGCAAGCCACCAACGUUCCCUAAUACCCGGAACCCAAGAACAAUCGAUCGCCAACCUCCUAUGUUCGAGUAAUCGUCGUUUGUCGGAGCUGCAGGCCACCGAUCGUUUCUUGUUGUUUCUUCACCACAGAUUACCCCCUAACGACUCAUAAACCACCAGAAAUGGUAGCCAAAGGCUCGCCAUCGUCACCACCUACAACUGCUGCCAGUCGAAGCUACAUACCCCAGUCUCCGGUUACUAUACAAUCACUACAGUGAAAUCCGAACCACCGGUUGACAACUGUUGUUCUCUACUCUGUCGGAGCAGCACUCCCCUACCUUCGAAGAUAGAUCAUACACCAAUCAUCGUCGGUCUCGUCGGAUCGCCUACAGCCAACGGGUAUCUUCAAGAUCCAGAGUCGCGGGUCACAAAUGACAUCACCGUGUCGAUUUCCGACCCCGUGUUUCUCAAUCCCCUACCGGGAACCGCAUCUAGCACAUUGUCGGCCCAACCACCAUGUUCUCCGACAGCCGCCUCCGAAGACUGGAUCUAAAACAACACCACCCAUCGGCAAUAGCCAUCGUUGGUCAAUGAUAACACCACCCGAUUACCUUAAAGCAACAACCUAACAAUCCAACAUUGUCUAUAGAGGUUGACCUAUUUCAUAGGUGGUGAAUCCCGACAAGUGAGCUGACUUACAGCUCCCGGUGUGUUUUCCCCUUAUGGCACCUCUCCUGACGGAUCGAGAAAAGGGGGGUUGUCGGCUAUGGUUGGCUGCCUUACCCUAAUACACUAAAAAAUGGGCUUUUCCUGGGAAAUGGGUUGUAAUGUUAUAUUCGGGCUUCAAUAUUGACUUACUUUGGGCUCCUUUAUAUCGAGAAUGGGCUACAACAACUUUAGGUUUUUCCUUUAGACUUGAACAUCUUAUCGGGUUAUCUUAAUAAGCAAUCUAUGGCGCAACUCAGCCGGUUAAAGCUCGCGUGUUAUGUUUCUGCCCAACAAAAUACAUUUUCAGAAUAUGUAUGGUGGUCUGGACCACCCAACAUUUUCAAAUAUUAAUAAUAAUAAUAAAAUGAUAAAAUAAAUUUUGAACAAAAAUAAGAAUGGGCUGAUUCUCUUUAAUCAUCUUCACAUGAUUGCAACUAUUCCUUUUGGGCUUCACCAUAACGAAUUUGGAUUUCUUUGGGCCGUAAUAUUUUAAGUGGCGGACUUCUUACAAAUGAACUCCAACAUUUUAUUUUGGGCUUUCUUGUAAGUUUUUCAUAUUAUUGGGCCGAUCCAACAACACAAAAAUGGGCUAUUUUUCAAAAUAAAUUCAACCAAUCAACCGUUCAUCGUUCGUGUGCUGCGACUUCGUCACACAAAAUUCGAUUUUAGAAGAUGUUUUGCAGUCCAAUCCACUCAACAACUUUUCGAAAGAAAAAAAAACUGGGAUAAGAGUAGUAGAUUACUACUACCCGUGAAACAUUUCGAAAUAACCCUCAGCAACCGUGUUGCUCGACUAUCGGCAGCCGUGUUGACCAACUUCAAGCAGUCUCGCUACUCAAGCUCUCACCAUUCAUGUCAAACGACCCUCACUAGUCUCGCUGCUCAGCUCACCAGUCAUCAAUAGUCACAUUGUCUGACCAGCAGCCGCACUACCCAACUCUUGCUAGCGCUUGCAUCACCCAACUCUUUCUAGCAGUUGUGUAGCUCAGUUGUCAGCAACUAUAUAUCUGCCAUNAGAAAUGGCAAAAAAAAAAAAAAAGGGGGGGGGGGGGGGAGAAGAGUUGGCACGACACUAUGUAGAAGUGAUUUUUUAUUCCGAAGGGGCAGAGUUAAAGUAUAUGAAGAGCUGACGUUAUGCAGGAUAGUGCAUUCCCGGAGUGACAUUAAUAUUCCGGAUCAAAUGAGCAGCUUCGUGGUUCAAACCUCGGUAGUCUCGUUGGCCAUCUGUCAGUGGUUGUGCUGAUCAUCUAUCGCUAGCAGCUCGAUGCUCAAUUCUUAACAGCCUUGGUGACCAGCUCUAAGUAGCAUUGUUGUAUAGCCCUCAACAGACAGCCAAGACAGCGAGGCACCAAUCGUCAAUACUACUAAUAAUGCAGCAAAGCAUCUUGUGCCAUCACACUUUAACUCAGACUGAUCGCCCGGUACAAACAUAAAAGAUCGCAUGUUGUUGCGCCCAAUCGUGCAAGGUUCAACAUCCUUGCCUUGAUAAGGUUGGCUUCUCAACCCGACUCCAUUAUAGCGGCACGCUCCGCAUGUGAGGUUCGACACCCUUGCCUUGAGUCGCCUGGCUCCUCGGCCCGGCUCCAUUAUUGCGGCAUGCUUCGCAUGCGUGGUUUAGUACUCUUGCCUUGAGUCGCUUGGCUUCUCAACCCGACUCCAUUAUAUCGGCGUGCUCCUCAUGCAAGUUUCAACACCCAUUCCUUGAGUCAUCUGGCUUCUCGGCCCGACUCCAUUAUAGCGGCAAGCUCUGCAUGCGAGGUGAUGGGUUUUAGCUAUAAGAACAUCCCAUGUGCUCAUACAAACCCUAAUGCUUGGAUCUAGGUUUCUCUAUUGUACAUGCAAGUUAUCCAAGACUAUAAACCCUAGAUCUAGCAUAUGAUGAUCAAUAUAACAUAUGAAUUAGGGUUUAGAUCAUACCUUGAUUGUUAUGUAGCAAUAACAAUCUCAAUUCUCCUUGUAAUGACUUUAGAAAGCUUAGAGUCACAAAUGUCACUCCUCUAAUGGUUCACAAACACCAAGAGCAAGAGGAUGAAGAGGAGAAGAGAAGGAGGCUGCCCAAAACGUGUGGAAACCCUAAUCAACUAGUUCCCCACGUUUUUGAGCCAUACGGGUCCUUUAAAUAGUGAAGCUAUUAGGGUUAUCAAAUAAGGAAACCUUAAUUUGGAUGCUUAGGCCCUAAGAAACCCAUGGACUACUUUCCUUAAAGGCCUAGGAUGAUUUCUAAUGGGUUUCCCAUAGAAUUCGUCCACCCCUUUGAUAUAUAGUCCAUUAGCUCAAUAUUCAACUAUCAUACAAUUGACAGUUCAAGUCCUUUAANAGUCCCUUAAGUUUAAUUAAUCUCUUUUAGUCACAAACUUAAUUCUUAUUAAUUCUUGACUAAUAUUAAUUAAACAAUAUGAUUUCUCCUUUAAUAUAUUAUUCUCAUAAUAUAUUAAUAAAUCAUAUUUAAUCCUUUAUCUCCAUAAUUCAUCCUAUCAAGUUGCUUUGGUGAAGGCAACCCAAAAGGACCAUGCACCAUCGGGUCAAGUACAUACCAAAAUAGUUAUGGACUUAGACACUAAUCCAAAAGUCUCCCACUUGAUAUAAGUCUAAUAAAUAUUCUGCGUAUAACUUCAAAUCCUGAUCUGCAAUCGUAGCUUUCUAAAGCCGCUGUCAACUCUGAUCUUAUCAGAUACGCGUGUUCUUUAGAUAAGGGAUCAUAUAUUCCUCCAUUCUAGAUAUCGUAUAGACUGAGACAUGGAUCUAAACCAUUCUCUCUGUCUAUGUGUUGUUUCCUGAAUUCAGAUUUAUGACGACUGACAACAGACUACAAUUGAAAACAUCAAUUUAGUCCUAGCUUGGCCAAGCACUUAGGUGCCAUCACUAAAUCAUCGAGGGGCCCACAAAUAUCGUUUUUAUCCUACUUUGGAUAAAAGGAACGGAUAAAAUUUGACUCAAUGCUCGCUUUCACUCACUUACCGAAUCACACACAAUAAUAUGUUUUAUAACACCAAGUUACUGGUGCGUUUACAUAUUAUCAAUGUGCAACCGAUUUGCAAGAUACAACUCACACAUCUCGGUUUCAAGAAUAUAAGAUGUUAUCGUCUCACCAAUCACUCGUGAUACAAUUCAUGAAGUGAUCCAAGUGAGCAUGGGUUUAAUCCAAUGCUCAAAUCAUAUUCAUAAGCACUCAUGAACGUUGCAGCAAACAUUUGCUUAUGUCUAAUACUCUUUAGACAAUCCACACACCAAUUCACGACAGUCUUCAUUCAUACCUACUUCCAACAUAUGAACGACUGUGGCCCGUUCGAAUAAUUUGACUGUUCUAAACCAAUUAAAUUAUUCAGGAAGUCAAAACAUGCAAAGUGAAACACAAGAAUAAUACUAAUCCCAUAUGGCCUCAAACCUUUGAGUAUAAAUAAAACACCUUUUAUUUAUCACCAUAUCGAUUACUCAUUAUUUGUCGUUUCGGGUAAUCAACUUCUUACUUGAAUUAUUACACUUGUCCCAUGCUCUUAGCAUGCACACAAUGUUUACCUAUGGUUCUUACUUUGUGAAAUAGAUCAAAUGAACACAUUUCCAAUCAUACUCAUUUCACAACUCCUAAUCCUUUUCACAAGUGAAAGAAUAUCAAAUUCUUGCCACUUAUGGAAUAUGUUAGAUUCUAACAUUUUAUGCAAUGAUCCUUUUGUAAUGUCACUGCACUAAAGUCACAAUGACUAUUGCCAAUGAAAUUACAAAGUCCUCUAUCGGAGAUUGUUACAAGACAAUUCCUUAGAUAUGAUGUCUCUCACUCAAAGUACAUUCCUUUGAACAUCCUUUUGCAUAAAAGUUUCUAAUCUAGACAUAGAUUUUCAAUAUUCAAUUCCCAAUAUGGACACGUUUCCAUAUUUUCCAUAUGACAACUCAUUCUUAAUAGAAUCUUAUCUAUUCAUAAUAAUGUCGAUAUGGUCCAUCCAAUACUAUACUUCCAACUACUCACAAGCGACCAAUCCUCGGCGAACUUUGGAUUGUCCUUUGAUAGUUGUUUAAUUAUCUUAGUCAAAACCGAUUCUUGUCCUUUUUCCCUCUAAAUGCGCUAGACAUUUGGAAAAUUUUAGAAUGGUCAAAUAUUAUAGCAUUUGCAAUCGAUCCUAUACCCGAAGCGUAUGGGACACGAUGCAUAAUGUCUUACAUAAAGAUUUGAUACUUUAUCAAUCUUCUGCCAUAAUAUUUUAUGUGCUACGUUCUCAAAAUUCGAACUAUGAAGAGGAAUGUCGUAAUCAUAAUCGAAAUUUGAGAACACACUAUGUAUCCUUGACUAAAUUUAUUAACAUUCCACAACCUAAGCCUUUAGAUUUGAAAUGAAGCAUAAUAUUCUCUCCCUUAAUUAUAGCAAAACAACUAUUCAACCCUUACAACUUUGCAAAGUAUGACUCUUGUUUUCUAUAAUUAAUAUUGCUAACUUGCAAUACUUGCCUUAAUAAUCAUACAAUCAUAACAUUUAUGCUCCCACUAUCAUGAUGAUUAUUAUAAACAUAACACUUAUGCUCCCACUAGCUUUGACAUGUAUUCAGAAACCAGCUUAACUUCCAGAAAAACAAUACUUAUUGAAUUUCUUAAGUUCAUGUUUCUAAUACCUAAUGCUUUGAUAAUCCUUUAUCUAAGCUUAUACACCUUUCCCUUAGAUAGCUCAUAUGUGUGUCUAAACAAUUCAGACUAAUUGCCAAAUCUCACAAUUCGAAUCAUGGAAAGGGAUACCGUAACCAUAAUCGAAUUCGAGAAUACAAUUUUCACAAUCACUAUCUUCUUAAAAUCUUUCUUAGUGAAAGCAUUUCCUCACAGUCAUUUUCAUGAAGGAGGGAAUCUUAUGACACUUAGAUUUUAAUGGUGUAUGUGUUCCUAUCCAUGUGAAUUUGUCAAAACCAAAGUUUACGACAAAUUCAAACUCAUAUGGACCGAACUUUCUUAAUCUUGAUUUCUUGCCUUAUGGUAGCACAGCUGCCCACCAUGUCUUCCAAGUAGUUAAGCAGCUCACCCUUUCCUAUCAAUGUACUUUUCAUUGAUCAAGGUGCUUGCCUUUUAUGCGUUCAAAUGAGAACUCAUAGAACUCACAUGCAUAAUUAACUCAAUUGGAAUGGCACAGAAACAAGAUAGUGUCAACACGAUAGGUUGUAAACCUCAACUCGUGUGCUAGUGAUGAUCGAUAAGGUUUAUUUUGAUUUGUUCUUGAAACCUUUCAAGACCAUUAAGACUCCCACUGACUCCUUGACAUAUAAGAUUCUCUUGUCAAUAAACAUUUCUUGACAAACAAAUAUUCAAGAGUUAGUGUAGUUUUUAUCAAAACACUUCAUAAAUUGGUCCUAGUUGGUCUUUGUCUUAUCCAAGACAUCACAACUUUCCACAUUUGAUGAAUGUUAUAAACCUUCUUAAUACUUAUCACUCAAUGUCACAAUCUUAACUCUAAGACUUGUUUUGGAACGAAGUAUGAUUGACUUCUUGAUUUAACCAUUUCUUCAAUUCUUGAUUCCUCUUCUUAGACAUACAAUUGUACUAAGACUCACUUAGAGGAUCAAUUGAGAUAUGGUUCUUAAUCAUUAAGACCUAUCAUAAAGCAUAAAAGGUACUCUCCCUUCUUCUUAGAAUGGAGAAACUUUUAUCUUUCUGCCUACUUGAUUCUUCUUAUUCGUUCUGCUAUUGAUUUAAACUUUUUCAAUCAAUUCAGAAUUACACUUAAUCUUAUAAGUAUAAUCAUAUUUACUAAACCUUUAGUAAAUCAUGACGAAUAUCUUUGUUACUCUUAUGGUGGACUUGAUCAACACGCAACUUUGUGUACUCGAUCUCCUAGUCCUUCACUUGACACUUUGUCAAUGAAUUAGUCUAAUUUCCAAAUAUGAAAUUUCUCAUUCAUCGUGCAACCAAGUUGCAUGAUUCCAAGUUUCUGUCCAAUUGAAACUUGGGCGAUGAGAAACUCUCCCUAUUUGGUAAAUUCUCGACUUUCCAUAAAUAACAUAAUAAGAACCAAAUCCAUUAUUGCUAAUAAUAGAAACAUUCAAACAUCAAUUUUUCAUAUACGCCAUUGCAAGGAUAAAUAAAUAAUAUAAAAUCAAAAUUUAUUUUAUUGCGGAAAAAUUUUUCCUUACAAUGCAAUUCAUUGAAAAACUAUGCUAAUACAUCUUUCUUAGCAAUCUAAUUCUAACUCUAAGUAGUAGCUCAAGAAUCUAAUCUUCGAGAAAUGCGAUCGAAAUCCAUUCCUUCACGGUUAGAUUCUGCUCACUUCUUCCCUUAAGCUUCCUUUCUUUUCUUCGAUCCUACAAAACAUCAAUUGUAAUCUUAUCACAUUAUGUAUUAAGAAUCUAGAAUAGAAGCUUAAAAGAGUUAGUUAAUGGAUUUUACCUAUAUUAGAGCCAUACGUUUCGACUCUCCCAUCUCUUAGAUCUCUUAGGUAAAUGGGGCAGCUUCGUCUCCAAUGCCCUUUCUCUUGGCAAUAAAAGCAAAUUGACUCUUUUGGAACAUGACAUGGAACUACUUCAGACAUUGCCUUUCUCUUAUGAUCAAACUUUUCGAUCAUAGCAUGUCUUUCGUUGCCAUUGUCUAUAUCCAUAGAGGUCUUGAAGGCAGAUUCACCAAUCAACUUUGCUUUUCUAUUGCGCCAAACCAUUGCUGAUUCAGCAGCAAUAAGCAUAUAGGUGAGAUCUAUAAGGGUCACGUCGCGGUUCAUCAUAUAGUACUCUCUUACGAACUCACUAUAUGAGUUAGGAAGUGACUGAAGAACCCAAUCAACAGCCAUUUCCUCACAGACAACGGAUCCCAACAUUCUUAACCUAUCAAUGUGUGACUUCAUCCCUAGGACGUGUGCACACACCGACUUUCCUUCUUUAUGUUUACUUGCCAAAAGGGCUUGAGUGAUCUUGAACUUUUCAAGCCUUUGAACUUGUGGGUUAGGGAGAAUAAUUGGAGGAGGUGGAGGAAGUGAAGCAUGAUUUCUUGUUCCUCGAUCGAAUCGUGGAAUAUCAUCUUCAUGUGGAAUGCUUGUUCCACGGGAUUUGGGAAGACCAUAGUUGUCGAACUUUGACAUCUACAAAACGGGAGAAAACGAAUUCAAGUUAGUUGAUUGAUUGAGUCCUUAGUAAAUCACCCAAAUGAGAUACUAAGGCUAGGACCCAACACAAUAUUCUACAACUCGGGAGAGGGAUGCCGUAACCCAAAUUGCAGAACAUUUGAAGGUAAGUGAAUGACGAUUCACUAAUUUCCACCAUGAAAAACGAAAAAGAAAUUUAAGUUUUAAAUCUAUGAAAACUCCUAGAUCCUUUGAGAUUCAUUGAACAUUUCAAUGGCAUGUUUAAAUCUCGAUAUGCCCCUCUUGUUUGUGACUGGGAUGCCGAGGAUCACAAAGCGGGUGUGAAUAACCAUGCAAACUUACAUGGUGCCCUCACAUGUUACAGUCACCUAUUCGAUGUGCCGGUAAACCACACACGCUCCACCGAACUAUGACAAACAUUGAGUCACCCUUUGCUACCUUUGCUUAGAACCAUUUAGUGUGCCGGUAAACCACACACGCUCCACUAACGUCUUCGCAAGGGCACAAAGUGUAAUUUCAUGGAAUUGCAUCAAUUCACUUUUGCCUAAGUAACUAAGAUUGGGAAUUUUAUGAAAACAUUUAGUUACUUUUAUACUUCAUUAUACUUAUAAUGGAAGGUUUUGUCCUAUCCUACCCGUUCGGCUAACGACCCUCCACUAGUCAAGAGUGCGGUGGGUAAGAGUGGAUACCCAUUCAAUCGCCAUUUUAUAGGCAAUUUCCUUAAACACCCCUUAUAGACCAGCUUCGUGAAUGAGGCCUACUAACGGUAAGACUGACUUUUACUCAUACAUAUAUAUAAUGUUAGACUUUUAAUGUUAUAUAUAGUAUAGGGUGUAUUUUACACUUUUAAAAUACUAGGUGGUCAAAUUUAACAAUUAUACUUUUAAUUCAAUUAAAUUGUAAACCUAAACUUUUAUGGAUUUAUUAAACCUCUUUUAAUUAUACACCUUAAUUAAUUAAUAAAACCAUAAGGGUGUGAUUUGAACUUUUUCAAAACUAUACUAGAGUUUUAGAAUUUAACAUUCCUAAUUAAACUUUUAAUCAACUUUUAAAUUCCAAAACUUGAGGGCAAGUUUUGAAACAUUUCAACACAUUAGGGUUUAGAAUUUAAAUAUACAUCAAAAUUAAACUAUUUAAUCAAAAUUUAAAUUCCAAAACUUGAGGGCAAGUUUUGAAACCUUUUUCAAAACAUUAGGGUUUCAACUAUUUAAAUUUCAAAACAACAAAACUUUUGGGUUCAAAUUUAAACUAUAAAACCUAAAGGGGAAAAUAUGAAACUUUUCAUAACAACAAGGAUCAAAUAACAAAUAAUCUAAAUUAACAUUUAAUCACAUAAUUAUCCAUAUUUGAUUUAUUUAAUGAUUUCUUGCAAAACAAUUUAUCAAUUUAAUCAAAAUAAUUAAUCAAUUAUCACAUAAGGAAACAAUUAUCUUAUUAAUUGAUAAAUAUCUUCAAUUAGAUCAAGAAUAUAGUCAAAUAUAUCAUAAAAUCGGAUUUAUAUUGAUCUAAUAUGAUAAGGUAACUAUCCCUAAGCAAAAACAGCAAGAAAUCCCGAGAUAUGCUCCAUCUGACGAGUUGACUCGUCGAGUCAAGCUUGGACUCGUCGAGUCUGCAUGGACUCGGCGAGUUCAGCUAUGGACUCGGCGAGUCCAGCCUCCAGAACAUCAAAAAUCGAAUUUUUUGAACAUGUAAUGCAUCAAUACAAUUGAAACCAGUCUAGGCUCUGAUACCACUGAUGGGUUUUGGUCAUAAGACAUCCUAUGUGCUCAUACAAACCCUAAUGCUUGGAUCUAGGUUUCUCUAUUGUACAUGCUUUGAAUCCAAGACUAUAAACCCUAAUUCUAGCAUAUGGAAAUCAAUAUUAACAUAUAAUUAGGUUUAAGAUAUUACCUUGAUUGUUAUGUAGCAAUAACAAUCCCAAUUCCUCCUUGAAUUGACUUUGGAAGGCUUAGAGUCACAAGUGUCACUCCUCUAAUGGCUUACAAACACCAUAAGCAAGAGGAUGAAGAGGAGAGAGGAUGGAGGCUACCAAAAACGUGUUCUAACCCUAGAAGAGAUGUUCCCAACGUUUUUGAGCCUUAAGGGUUCUAUAUAUAGUGAGGCUAUUAGGGUUAUCUAACAAGGAAACCCUAAUUUGGUUGCUUAAGCCCUAAGCAACCCAUAGACUCCUUUAAUCAAGCCCUUGGACGAUUUCCUUAUGGGCUUCCCAUAAGAAUUCGUCCACCUCUUGAUUUAAGACAAUCCAUGGCCCAAAUUGCAAUUAUCUUAUAAUUACAAUUCCAGUCCCUUAAGUUUAAUUAAUCUCUUUUAGUCACAAAACUAAUUACCAAUUAAUUAUUGACUAAUAUUAAUUAAACAAUAUGAUUUCUCCUUUAAUAUAUUAUUCUCAUAAUAUAUUAAUAAAUCAUAUUUAAUCCUUUCUCUCCAUAAUUCAUCCUAUCAAGUUGCUUUGGUGAAGGCAACCCAAAAGGACCAUGCACCAUCGGGUCAAGUACAUACCAAAAUAGUUAUGGACUUAGACACUAAUCCAACAGUCUCCCACUUGGAUAAGUCUAAUAACUAUUCUGCGUAUGACUUCAGAUCCUGAUCUGCAAUCGUAGCUUUCCAAAGCCGCUGUCAACUCUGAUCCUAUCAGAUACGCGUGUCCUUAGAUAAGGGAUCAUAUAUUCCUCCAUUCUAGAUAUCAUAUGAGAUAUGAUUUCAAAUCAUUCUCUUUGUACUAUAUCUCGAUUCCCGAUUUAUGACGACUGACUAAUUGAACAAAUCAAAUUAGCCCUAGCCCGGCCGAGCAUUUACGUUUGUCAUCACUAAAUCAUCGAGGGGCCCAAAGAUAUCGCUUUUAUCCUACUUUGGAUAAAAGGAACGGAUAAACUUUGAUACAAUGCUUGCUUGCACUCACUCACCGAAUCACACACAACAAUAUGUUUUAUAACACCAAGUUACUAGUGCGUUUACAUAUUAUCAAUGUGCAACCGAUUUGCAAGAUACAACUCACACAUCUCGGUUUCAAGAAUAUAAGAUGUUAUCGUCUCACCAAUCACUCGUGAUACAAUUCAUGGAGUGAUCCAAGUGAGCGUGGGUUUAAUCCAAUGCUCAAAUCAUAUUCAUAAGCACUCAUGAACGUUGCAGCAAACAUUUGCUUAUGUCUAAUACUCUUUAGACAAUCCACACACCAAUUCACGACAGUCUUCAUUCAUACCUACUUCCAACAUAUGAACGACUGUGGCCCGUUCGAAUAAUUUGACUGUUCUUAACCAAUUAAAUUAUUCAGGAAGUCAAAACAUGCAAAGUGAAACACAAGAAUAAUACUAAUCCCAUAUGGCCUCAAACCUUUGAGUAUAAAUAAAACACCUUUUAUUUAUCACCAUAUCGAUUACUCAUUAUUUGUCGUUUCGGGUAAUCAACUUCUUACUUGAAUUAUUACACUUGUCCCAUGCUCCUAGCAUGCACACAAUGUUUACCUAUGGUUCUUACUUUGUGAAAUAGAUCAAAUUGAACACAUUUCCAAUCAUUCUCAUUUCACAACUCCAAAUCCUUUUUCAUAAGUGAAAGAAUAUCAAAUUCUUGCUACUUAUAGAAUAUGCUAGAUUCUAACAUUUUAUGCAAUGAUCCUUUCGUAAUGUCACUGCACCAAAGUCACAAAGACUAUUGCCAAUGAUAUUACAAAGUCCUCUAUCGGAGAUUGUUACAAGACAAUUCCUUAGAUAUGAUGUCUCUCACUCAAAGUACAUUCCUUUGAACAUCCUUUUGCAUAAAAGUUUCUAAUCUAGACAUAGAUUUUCAAUAUUCAAUUCCCAAUAUGGACACGUUUCCAUAUUUUCCAUAUGACAACUCAUUCUUAAUAGAAUCUUAUCUAUUCAUAAUAAUGUCGAUAUGGUCCAUCCAAUAUGGAAACAUUUCCAUAUUUUCCAAUACUAUACUUCCAACUACUCACAAGCGACCAAUCCUCGUCGAACUUUGGAUUGUCCUUUGAUAGUUGUUUAAUUAUUUUAGUCAAAACCGAUUCUAGUCCUUUUUCCCUCUAAAUGCGCUAGACAUUUGGAAAAUUUUAGAAUGGUCAAACAUUAAAGCAUUUGCAAUCGAUCCUAUACCCGAAGCGUAUGGGACACGACGCAUAAUGUUUUAUUUGCUAUGUUCUCAAAAUUCGAAUUGUGAAGAGGAAUGCCGUAAUCAUAAUCGAAAUUUUAAGAACACACUAUGUACCUUUGACUAAAUUUAUUAACAUUUCUCAACCUAAUCCUUUAGAUUUGAAAUGAAGCAUAAUAUUCUCUCCCUUAAUUAUAGCAAAACAACUUUUCAACCCUUACGACUUUGCAAGGUAUAACUCUUGUUUUCUAUAAUUAAUAUUGCCAACUUGCAAUACGUGCCUUAAUAAUCAUACAAUCAUAACAUUUAUGCUCCCACUAUCAUGAUGAUUAUUAUAAAACAUAACACUUAUGCUCCCACUAGCUUCGACAUGUAUUCAUAAACAUCUUAACUUUCAGAAAAACAAUACUUAUUGAAUUUCUUAAGUUCAUGUUUCUAAUACUUAGUGCUUUGAUAAUCUUUUAUCAAGGCUUCUUGAACUUAUACACCUUUGCCUUCGAUAGUUCAUAUGUGUGUCUAAACAAUUAAGACUAAUUGCCAAACCUCACAAUUCAAAUUAUGGAAAGGGAUACCGUAACCAUAAUCGAAUUCGAGAAUGCAAUUUUACAAUCACUAUCUUCUUAAAAUCUUUCUUAGUGAAAGCAUUUCCUCACAAUCAUUUUCAUGAAGGAGGAAAUCUUAUGACACUUAGAUUUAAACGGUGUAUGUGUUCCUAUCCAUGUGAAUUUGUUAAAACCAAAGUUUACGACAAAUUCAAACUCAUAUGGACCGAACUUUCUUAAUCUUGAUUUCUUGCCUUAUGGUAGCACAGCUGCCCACCAUGUCUUCCAAGUAGUUAAGCAGCUCACCCUUUCCUAUCAAUGUACCUUUCAUUGAUUAAGGUGCUUUGCCUUUUAUGCGUUCAAAAUGAGAACUCAUAGAACUCACAUGCAUAAUUAACUCGAUUGGAUUGGCACAGAAUCAAAAUAAUGUCAACACGAUAGGUUGUAAACCUCAACUCGUGUGCUAGUGAUGAUCGAUAAGGUUUAUUUGAUUUGUUCUUGAAACCUUUCAAGACCAUUAAGACUCCCACUGACUCCUUGACAUAUAAGAUUCUCUUGUCAAUAACCAUUUCUUGACAAACAAAUAUUCAAGAGUUAGUGUAGCUUUUAUCAAAACACUUCAUAAAUUGGUCCUAGUUGGUCUUUGUCUUAUCCAAGACAUCACAACUUUCCACAUUUAAUGAAUGUUAUAAACCUUCUUAAUACUUUUCACUCAAUGUCACAAUCUUAACUUUAAGACUUGUUUUGGAACGAAGUAUGAUUGACUUCUUGAUUUAACCAUUUCUUCAAUUCUUGAUUCCUCUUCUUAGACAUACAAUUGUACUAAGACUCACUUAGAGGAUCAAUUGAGAUAUGGUUCUUAAUCAUUAAGACCUAUCAUAAAGCAUAAAAGGUACUCUCCCUUCUUCUUAGAAUGGAGAAACUUUUAUCUUUCUGCCUACUUGAUUCUUCUUAUUCGUUCUGCUAUUGAUUUAAACCUUUUCAAUCAAUUCAGAAUUACACUUAAUCUUAUAAGUAUAAUCAUAUUUACUAAACCUUUAGUAAAUCAUGACGAAUAUCUUUGUUACUCUUAUGGUGGACUUGAUCAACACGCAACUUUGUGUACUCGAUCUCCUAGUCCUUCACUUGACACUUUGUCAAUGAAUUAGUCUAAUUUCCAAAUAUGAAAUUUCUCAUUCAUCGUGCAACCAAGUUGCAUGAUUCCAAGUUUCUGUCCAAUUGAAACUUGGGCGAUGAGAAACUCUCCCUAUUUGGUAAAUUCUCGACUUUCCAUAAAUAACAUAAUAAGAACCAAAUCCAUUAUUGCUAAUAAUAGAAACAUUUUAACAUCAAUUUUUCAUACACGCCAUUGUAAGGAUAAAUAAAUAAAAUUUAAAAUCAAAAUUUAUUUUAUUGCGGAAAAAUUUGUCCUUACAAUGCAACUCAUUGAAAAACUUAUGCUAAUACAUCUUUCUUAGCAAUCUAAUUCUAACUCUAAGUAGUAGCUCAAGAAUCUAAUCUUCGAGAAAUGCGAUCGAAAUCCAUUCCUUCACGGUUAGAUUCUGCUCACUUCUUCCCUUAAGCUUCCUUUCUUUUCUUCGAUCCUACAAAACAUCAAUUGUAAUCUUAUCACAUUAUGUAUUAAGAAUCUAGAAUAGAAGCUUAAAAGAGUUAGUUAAUGGAUUUUACCUAUAUUAGAGCCAUACGUUUCGACUCUCCCAUCUCUUAGAUCUCUUAGGUAAAUGGGGCAGCUUCGUCUCCAAUGCCCUUUCUCUUGGCAAUAAAAGCAAAUUGACUCUUUUGGAACAUGACAUGGAACUACUUCAGACAUUGUCUUUCUCUUAUGAUCAAACUUUUCGAUCAUAGCAUGUCUUUCGUUGCCAUUGUCUAUAUCCAUAGAGGUCUUGAAGGCAGAUUCACCAAUCAACUUUGCUUUUCUAUUGCGCCAAACCAUUGCUGAUUCAGCAGCAAUAAGCAUAUAGGUGAGAUCUAUAAGGGUCACGUCGUGGUUCAUCAUAUAGUACUCUCUUACGAACUCACUAUAUGAGUUAGGAAGUGACUGAAGAACCCAAUCAACAGCCAUUUCCUCACAGACAACGGAUCCCAACAUUCUUAACCUAUCAAUGUGUGACUUCAUCCCUAGGACGUGUGCACACACCGACUUUCCUUCUUUAUGUUUACUUGCCAAAAGGGCUUGAGUGAUCUUGAACUUUUCAAGCCUUUGAACUUGUGGGUUAGGGAGAAUAAUUGGAGGAGGUGGAGGAAGUGAAGCAUGAUUUCUUGUUCCUCGAUCGAAUCGUGGAAUAUCAUCUUCAUGUGGAAUGCUUGUUCCAUGGGAUUUGGGAAGACCAUAGUUGUCGAACUUUGACAUCUACAAAACGGGAGAAAAAUAAAUUCAAGUUAGUUGAUGAUUGAGCCCUUAGUAAAUCACCCAAAUGAGAUACUAAGGCUAGGACCCAACACAAUAUUCUACAACUCGGGAGAGGGAUGCUGUAACCCAAAUUGCAGAACNUAAAUCUCAAUAUGCCCCUCUAGUUUGUGACUGGGAUGCCGAGGAUCACAAAGCGGGUGUGAAUAACAAUGCAAAUCUACAUGGUGCCCUCACAUGUUACAGUCACCUAUUCGAUGUGUCGGUAAACCACACACGCUACACCAAACUAUGACAAACAUUGAGUCACCCUUUGCUACCUUUGCUUAGAACCAUUUAGUGUGCCGGUAAACCACACUCGCUCCACUAACGUCUACGCAAGGGCACAAAGUGUAAUUUCAUGGAAUUGCAUCAAUUCACUUUUGCCUAAGUAACUAAGAUCAGACUGAGGGGACUUGAUAAUAUAUGGUCCAUUAGCAUGGCCAAGACUACUCUAGAGUGCCAGCCUAGCCUGGCGCGCUCCUGCUAGCCCUGCCUGGCAUUCCCUUGCCAGCCUUGCCUGGCGCUCCCUUGCCAUCCGUCCUGGGGACUAUCCUACCGGCCCGGCCCAACGCUCCCUUGCCUUGCGCCUCCUUGCCGGCCUUUCCUGGUGCGCGCCCAUCAGCCUUAUCUAGGGCGCACCCGCCAGCCCUGCCCGACGCCUUCGGGUAGCCUUGCCCAUCUCCUUGCUAGUUGGGCCUGAAUUGGGCUAGCCCAAGGCCUGACCUAAUUCCCCUUGACCUAAUUGUCCACUAUAAAUAGAAUAGUGUCUCCUACAUAUAGGAGGACUCUUCCCCAAAUGGAUCAGCCGCCACUAGAUCUCUCCCCAUGGCUCAGCCGCUACUCGUCGUUACUGUCAGCCACCAUACACCACCACCAACACCAGGAUGGUUCUCUCUAGCUAUGGAAGACUAUCUUAGAUCUACCAGCUGAUCUAACUUGAUCGUCGGAGUCCGCUCCCGGGGGACAGUCCCUGGGGCGGCUCUAACGACCUUGUCUGUUGUGACCUCGAAGAUCUGUCUCCGGCAUAGAAGCACUCCCUGAGAGCAAGUGGUCAGAGACGAAAUUGCAUCAGUGUUUAUUGUAGAUUCACUACUGACAUGUCUGAUAUGCUGGUAUAUGAGAAUGUGCUAAUAUUUAUUGACUAGAUAUGUGAAGACCCCGGGGGGAGCCCGUGGCAGUUAGAUAUAAGACCAUGUGGGGGAGCCUAUGGCAUUCUAGGUAAAGACCAUGUGGGGGAGCCCAUGGAAAGUAGUUUAGACCAUGUGGGGGAGCCAAUGACACAUAGAGUAAGACCCUGUAGGGAGUCGACGACAUCCUUAUAGGGUUAUGUAUGAGUUAUGUAGUAUGAUAGAUAUUUCUAUGAUAUAUGAUAUGCUAGUUGACUUGGGUUAUUUGCAUGGAAGACCCUAGGGGGAGCCCAUGGUAGUUGGAUAUAAGACUAUGUGGGGGAGCCCAUCGCAUUCCUAGGUAAAGACCAUGAGGGGAUCCUAUGGCUUGUAGGUAUAAGACCCUGGGAGGAGCCUACAACAUCCUUAUAUGUUGUAUGCAUGGAUUAUGUGGUUUAUGUAGCUUAUAUAGAUAAUAUGGAUUAUGUGAUUGUGUGGCUUGUGUGGGGUAUGCUCUGGGGAACUCACUAAGCAUUAGCUUACUGAUGUGACAUCGGCUCCGACCACCUUCGUUGAGGAUGUGCUUCUACGCUGGAGACGAAUCUGCGAGGUCACAACAGACAAGGCCGUUAGAGCCGCCCCAGGUACUGUGCCCCGGGAGUGGGCUCCGACGGUCAAUUUAGAUCAUUCAGAAGAUCUAAGAUGGCUCUCUUUAGCUAGAGAGAACCAUCUUGGUGCUGGUGGUGGUGUAUGGUGGCUGACGACGGUGGGUGGCGGCUGAGCCACCCGGCCAGAGUAUAGUGUGGCGACUGAGCCAAGGGGAAGAUCCCUCUCCAUAGUGGAGGUAUUGUUCACUUUAGAGGGGAAAAUUAGGUCAGGCCUUGGGCCAGCCCAAUUCAGGACCAACUAGCAAGAAGAUGGGUGAGGCCGCCCGGAGGCGCCGGGCGAGGUUGGUGGGCGCGCACUAGGAAAGGCUAGCAAGGGAGCGUCAGGUCAGGCCAACAGGAGAGUCCCCAGCAAGGCUGGCAAGGGAUUACCCAGGCUGGGUCAACAGGAGAGUCCUCAGCAAGGCUGGAAAGGGAGUCCCCAGGUCGGGCCAGCAGGAGAGUCCCCAGCAAGGCUGGCAAGGGAGCGCCAGGUGAGGCUGGCAAGGAAGCGCCAAGCUGUCUAGGCCAUGCUAAUGGACCAUAUAUCAUCAAUUCCCCCAUUCUGAUGUUAUUGGUACACGGCCAAUGACAUUGGACUGGACUCAAUCAUAUAAACCAUGUGUCAUCAGGCUGGCAAGGGAGCACCAAGCUGGGCCAGCCGGAGAGUCCCCAACAGGGCUGGCAAGGAAGUCCCCAACAAGGCUGGCAAGGGAGCGCCAAGCCGGGCCAGCCGGAGAGUCCCCAACAGGGCUGGCGAGGGAGUCCCCAGCAAGGUUGGCAAGGGAGUGCCAGGCGAGGCUGGCGCACCAGAGCUGUCUAGGCCAUGCUAAUGGACCAUAUAUCAUCAAGUCCCCCUAGUCCGAUGUUAUUGGUAUGCGGCCAAUGACAUUUGAUUGGACUUAGUCAUAUAAAUUGUGUGUCAUCAAGUCCCCCUAGUCCGAUCAGAUCAGACUAGACAAAGAACCAAUACUUGAAAUAAUAAAGAGAACGACCAAACCUCGCCCACGAGAUCUGUAGUGAUGCGAUGAGCCAAGCAUUGUUAGUGCAACCUGAGCUGACUUGAUACUCCUUCAUUGAGAGGAAUGUGAUCUGGUUGGUGUGAUGCAACGUAACCGUUGUUGCGAUCAAGCGGAGUGAGGUUGCUAAUAAUAUUAUGCGGAGCGGGGCUGCUANGUGGCCUGGCUCCCCAGCCCGGCUCCACUACAACGACAUGCUCCGACCGACGAGGCUCAAAGGUUUGCAACCUUUGCCUACAUGAUUCCACGCGAUGCUCUCCUGCGUGUUGUAUCUACGAUCGCUGACAGCCAAUCCCGAUCCGUUCCACACGAUGCUCUCCCGCGUGAUGCAUCUACGAUUGCUAGCAGUCAAGCCCGAUCCAUUCCACACGAUGCUUCCCCACGUGAUGUAUUUACGAUCUCUGGCAGCCAAGCCCGAUCCAUUCCACGCGAUGCUUUCCCACAUGAUAAAUCUACGAUCUAUGGCAGCUAAGCCCGAUCCAUUCCACGCGAUGCUCUCCCGUGACAUCUCCAUGAUCGUUAACUACUAAGCCCAAGAUAUUCUUCUAAUUUGCGCAACAUAAGUCACACAUCGUUGUGCACCAUAAGUCGUGCAUCACAAGCUUAUUCGACGCCUAACACCAUGAUCUCAGUGUUUCCUCUCUCACAGUUGUCAUGGUUCUCUUGUGCUUGGACGAUCGACGAAGCGUUUUCUAUAUUAUAUCCUGCUAUAGUGAGGUUACUCUCAAUCAAGAAGGUUAUUCCGGCAGCGGCCCUACUACCUACUACCUUUCAGCACCUCUACUUCCUGGCUCUCGGAAACGGUCUGGUUGCGCAACCCCUACCUAUAGCCUCGCCAUAUAUCCUCAGCAUAUCUGUUGCCUGGCGCUCGGAAACAGUCUUGCUGCACAACCCCAACCUGUAGCGUUGGCCGCGUAUCCCUCAUCGUAUCUGUUCCCUGGUGCUCGGAAACGAUCUUUCUCUCAACAAUAGUCUCGUUGCGCAUCCCCUACCUACAACCCCUGCUACUUAUAUUUCGGUCAACAACCAUGCGACUCAUCGGUUUGACAACAUCCUUCUCAGAAAAAGAGUUUUUGCUACUUUUUAUGCCAACAACUUUGUCGUGUAUUGAUAUAGCAACCUUUAUUUAUUCUUCAUAGUCUAAUAUGGCUACCUAUGCUACCCACAUCAGACUGGGGGGNNNNNNNNNNNNNNNNNNNNNNGGGGGGGGGGGGCGAAUCCAGUUAGGUAUAGCGUACUUUGGAGACACCUUUAGUACGGUUGUUAACGCUUGUGCAAAAUAGAUUAUGUACAUGGUUAUCACUAAUAUCCCAUAUGCGUGUGACUACAACAACAACUGCGUCGGAUAACAGUCUCAGGGACUGAAUGGCGGAGCGGGGCUGCUAUGCGGCAUGGUUAUCACUAAUGGUACUGGACUGGGGAGCGAGACGACCGAAGGAAAGUAUAUUGAACCUCGCAUGCGGAGCUUGCCGCUAUAACAUAGUCGGGCUGAGAAGCCAGGCGACUCAAGGUGAGGGUAUCGAACCUCGCAUACGGAGCUUGUUGCUAUAAUGGAGUCGGUCAGAGAAGUCAGGUGACUCAAUUCAAGGGUGCUGAACCUCGCAUGUGGAGCUUGUCGAUGUAAUGGAAUCGGGCUAAGAAGCCAGGCGACUCAAGGAAAUGGUACUGAACCUCGCAUGCGGAGCUUGCCGCUAUAAUGGAGUCGGGCUGAGAAACCAGGCGAUUCAAGGCAAAGGUAUUAAACCUCGCAUCCGGAGCUUGCCGCUAUAAUGGAGUCGGGCAGAGAAACCAGGCGACUCAAGGCGAGGAUGUUGGACCUUGUAGGCAACACUUAUUUUAUGUAAGGAAUAAUUACUGAGAAUUAUUUGGAGUGUUAAUGAGGGUUUUCAGUAUAGCCUUCACCGAAAUCCUUGAUUUCGAUCUUAAAACCUCAACCGAGAACCAGGUUCUCGGUCUUAUGGUGUUCUCGGACCAAGGUGUUUUUCGGCCAAUUGAAGAUUUGAAGAUUGUUCUUAGUGCUCUUUGUGAAAAUUAUGAGGAUUUGAAGGAUUUUCCUUGAAGAUUUUAAGGUUCUUGUAUGAUACUUGAGAGUAAAAUGGGAGUGUUUUCAAUUGAAAACAGUGAGAAAAUGACUUAUUUUUCCGGGAAAAAUAUAUAUAGCGGUUGGGUUUUCGGCCGAAAAGGCGUUUCGGUCCAAAGGGUUUGCGGUCCGAGGGUCCUCAGCCGAAAAGGGGUUUUCAGUCCAAGGUUUCUCAAUUCCAAAGGGAAGAAUGUUUAUUUUUAACUGUAUUUUAUUCCAAAUACCUAUAUAAAAACAUCAUUUAUAUAAUUUAAAUCAUAUUUAACCCUUAUGAUCUAAACCUAAUAAACAAAACUCAAAUUUUAUUUAAACGGGUUUGACUUUUAUUGACUUGAAAAAUAAUGGGUUGUUACAUUACCCCCCCGUUAGAGUGAAUUUCAUCUCGAAAUUCUUUCUAUAGUGAAUACAUCAUGGACUAGGGAAAAAGAUGUUGGUACUUUUGUUGCAUCUGAUCUUAUCGCUUCCAAGUGAAUUCAGGUCCCUGCUUGGCAUUCCAGCUAACCUUCACUAUUGGUAUGCGAAUUUGUUUUGUUGAUUUGACUUCCCUAUCCAUGAUUUCUACUGGUUCUUCCACAAAGUUAAGACUCUUGUUUAUCUCAAUUUCAUCAAGUGGAAUUACAAGAGUCUCAUCGGAUAGACACUUCUUUAUGUUUGACAAGUGGAAGACAAGGUUGACGUUGUUAAGUUCUUGUGGUAGAUAGAGUUUGUAAGCUAUUGGGUCGAUUCUAACGUGAAUCUCAAAUGGCCCGAUGUACCUUGGAUUUAGCUUUCCAUGCUUUCCGAAGCGUAUCAUGCCCUUCCAAGGUGAGACCUUCAACAGAACACGGUCACCCACCUGGAAUUCCAAGGGUUUUCAUCUCUUGUCUGCUCUGUGGUUUCUCGAAUGAUUUCCGGGUCAGUGAGAGUGCUAUCAGGUACUUGCCCUUUAGCUAGCUGUGAGUGGAGCAACCUUAAUGCUAGAGUGGUAACUAUUGUUGUAUGAAAACUCGACAAGUGGAAAAUGGUUAUCCCAUGCUUUACCAAAGUCGAUCACACAUGCUCUCAGCAUGUCUUCUAGUGUUUGAAUGGCUCUCUCACUCUUCCCGUCAAUUUGUGGAUGGUAGGCUGUGCUCAUGUCCAGCCUAGUUCCUCGAGAUUUUUGUAAUGACUGUCAAAAUCGCGAGGUGAAUCUAUUGUAUCUAUCUGAGAUAAUAGAUAUGGGCACACCAUGCAGUAGUACCCUCUUUUGGGCUCUUGCGAAGAUUGGCCCUUUCGUUUGUUUCAAAACUUCUUUUUGUUGCCACCCUCUUUAGGCUGUUCAGGAACGGCUGCUACGGAGUCUUGGCGAUCUCCGUGAUCCACUAGUGUCUGUGCCAGAUGCUUGGCACUAUCGAAAGUAAGUGGAUUGGCAGCUAGGACAUUUCCUUGAGUCGGGGGAGUCAGUCCUGAUAUGUACCUUUCCACCUUCUUACUCUCUGGGGUGACCAUCCCGGAACACAGAAGGGCCAGGUCACUGAACCUAGUAGUGUAAGCAACGAUAUCAGAGUCCUUCAUCUUUAGACUCCAGAGCCCAUGCUCUAGUUUUUUCAUUUCGCCCCUCGGGCAGUAUUCUACUAGCAUUAGCUCCUUUAAAUCAUCCCAACUCAUAGCAUUGGCUAUUGGGAGAGUCAAUGACUUGACUUGGUUGUUCCACCAAGUUAUGGCUCUGUCUGUGAAAGUGCAUACUACAAAUUUCACUUUGCUAGAUUUGGGGCACGCACAGAUUUCGAAUAUUGAUUCGGUCUUCUCGAACCAAUGGGUUAAAGCAAUAACACCUCCGGUGCCAUCGAAGGAUUUGGGUUUAGCAUUCGUGAAGUCUUUGUAUGAACACUCCCUUGGGUGUCCAUGACUAUCCCCGUGGUUAGAAGGGUUGGCACCACUACCUGCCCCGCUAGCGCCACUUGCAUUGAUCUGCGACAUAGUGGCAGCCCCGACGACUGUUACCGCUGCUUGGAAGACAGCAGGGUCAUACUGAGGAGGUGGUGGCGGUGUGGAUUCAUUGGAGGAUUGUUUUUCUUCCUGUUGGACUUCUUUAGAGGCCUCUUUCUCUAUAAUGAUUUAAGAGAAAAUGAUGAUAAGUCCUCUAUAGUGGUCAUGAGUCAAGUGAUAAUGAACAAGAUAUAUCAUAUCCUCACUAUUACAAUGUUCUAUUAAGCAAUUUACAGUGGAAGUCUACUAAUAUAAGUAAACAAUCGCUCACUUCAUUUAUAGCAACACUUGUAAAGAAUUUUGUAUAACGUGACUCACACUCGAUCCCUCUAUAGUCACCUAGUGUAUAUGAAUUAUGUAUAACUAUCAAGGCCUAAAUGUUCUUGUUCUAGUGUUGUAGGAUCAUAAAAUACUCAUAUAGUAUUCUAAAUUUUAUGUUUGGUUCUAGAGUUUCUCUCGGAUGUAUUGUUGGUAAGUUUUAGACUUGCUGCAACACCACUAUCACGCCCAAACAUAUGUUGGUCGUAUCUCAAAUAAAUAUAGUUGAUCAGACUAUAUUUAUCCCAGAUAUAAUUACAUAACUGUCAAGGUUUAACUGUAAUGUCCAACAUCUAAAUACUUCUGUAUAGUUCUUUAUGUGAUAUUGUUCCUGGUAUUUGUGUAUGUUUGUAUACUUCUUAUAAAAUACUUAGAUUUCAAAAGUAUACUUUUAGUCAGAUCACUUCGGCCCCAUUGUGUUUAUAGCUUUCUAUCUUGUAAGUUUUGAGAUACUUAGUUCACUAUAAACAAUGCUAUGAUACCAAUCUGUCACACCCCCAAACCGGAACGGCAGAAAUGUUUCGGGGGUGGAGGACGUCAUGUACAGUAUGACAACAAUUGCAUAAUAGUAAUCAAAGCAAACACAACCAUUACAUUGAUAGAAUAUAGUAUACAUAGUUUGUAUGACAUCAGAAGUGUAUAACAAAAGUAUAAAAGACGCGACUCUAAAAGAUCCGUCUUCUCAAAACCUGUGGGUGUACCUGUCUAUCGAUUCCUUUAAAAUACAAGUGGUUUUGAAAGUAUAUCAGCAUUUAAGUUGGCGAGUUCAUAAGUAUGUGUUUGAGAUGGAAAGCUUGUCUUUGUUCUUUGUAAAUGCUAUAGUGUACUUCCAGAAAAUCCAAUAUUUUCUUUAAUGAAUGAAAUGUAGUCUUAGACCUUAAGACCAAAAUGUAUGUAGUUACUGUAUUAUGAAUGGUGAACUGUACUUUGAAAUAGUGAACUGUAGUUUUAUUAAUAAAUAAAACUAUGUAAUGAAUGAUUAUUGAAAUUGUUGUUGUACUAGUGUACUUUGUACUAGAAAAGUAGUGUACUGUAGUGGUGUCUAUAGUAGUGUUUGUAGGAAAACCUUAUUGUAUGAAUGCCUGGAAUCUACCAGUUGUAGUGUAAAAUAGUGUACUGUAGUUUCAUUAUUUAAAAUAAAACCAAUUGAAGUAGUGUUAAUACCAUAAAAAAUGUUGUAGUUAUACUAUUGUGAGUUUCAUAUAACCAUGCUUGAUAUGACCUAGUGGCCUCUACGACGUUCUUCAGGUGUCAAAAUGUUAUGACAUUGUCACCCCAGGCCUGCCGGCCUAGCUGUUGCAAGCAGCUCAGGUGCAGGAUUGUCAGUCAUGUAUAGAUCUAUACACUAAUUCACACUCUUCCUCUAGGAGACUCUAGUUAUAAUUUAUAGGACUUGAACCGGUACCCUAAUGGGUACCCCGAAGUAGUGCCUCACAACCCUGUAUUAACUAGUUUACGUGUAGUGUAGUAGUGUUCUCUUGUACUUGAAACUGUAUGUAUUACCUUCUAGUAGUGUACCUUUUAGUGUAAAAUAAUUAUACUUAAAUAAUUAUUUAGUAAUGUAUCCUUGAAUGGGUGAAAUAGAGUAGUGUUCCAUAAACUAUACCUAUUAUAGUUUAUAUGUAUGUUCUUGUUCCUGUAUAGUGUUCUUUGAGCUUGUAAAAUAGUUUAGUGUCUUCCAAACUAUACCUAUUAUAGUUUGAAUGUAUGUACUUGUAUUGUUUAUUGAACUUAGCAAAAUAGUGUGGUGAUUCAUAAACUAAACCAACUAUAGUUUUAAUGUAUACCUUGUAAUGAACUGAAGCAUUUGCAAUUUAAUAGUGUGUAUAAAGCGGUAGUAAUAGAUUUAUGAAAAAUACCCUUUUGCUCGACAUACUACAAAAGGGUUUAAAAUAUAUAAAAUAUAUUUUGAUAAAUGCAACGAAAAAUCGGAUUAGGAACAAUUGCAAAUGGUUUGAAAUAGUUUGGAUGUUAACACAAAAAUUCUUCUGUGUAACUUGUAUCCCCCCCCCCCCCCAAAAAAAAAAAUGAAAAUAGUGAAAGCGUAGGGGUAUGAACUCACCUGUAAUGUGUGUUUGAGUCUGGAUACUGAAACUGUAGAGAUGAUCCUCGGGCUAGUGUGCGUGGAAAUAACGGUAUCCUAAUAUUAUAUAAACACGUAAUCGUAUUUAAAUUAGUGAAAUAAUUAAUUAAAGUGUUAGGCAACACUUAUUUUAUGUAAGGAAUAAUUACCAAGAAUUAUUUGGAGUGUUGAUGAGGGUUUUCAGUCUAGCCUUCACCGAAAUCCUUGAUUUCGGUCUUAAAACCUCAACCGAGAACCAGAUUCUUGGUCUUAUGGUGUUUUCGGUCAUGAACGAGUUCUCGGUCCAAGGUGUUUUCGGCCAGUUGAAGAUUUGAAGAUUGUUCUUGGUGUUCUUGGUGAAAAUUAUGAAGAUUUAAAGGAUUUUCCUUGAAGAUUUGAAGGUUGUUGUAUGAUACUUGAGAGUAAAAUGAGAGUGUUUUCAAUUGAAAAAGUGAGAAAAUGACUUAUUUUUCGGGGGAAAAUAUAUAUAGUGGUUGGGUUUUCAGCCGGAAAGGCGUUUUCAGUCCGAGGGUUCUCGGUUCCAAAGGGAAGAAUGUUGAUUUUUAAGUGUAUUUUAUUCCAAAUACUUAUAUAAAAACAUCAUUUAUAUAAUUUAAAUCAUAUUUAACCCUUAUGAUCUUAACCUAAUCAACAAAACUUGAAUUUUAUUUAAAAGGGUUUGACUUUUAUUGACUUAAAAAUAACGGGUUGUUACACUACUGCUCAGGCCCCCAACGAAAAGUGACAGCCUUCUUUGUCAGUCAAGUCAGAGGAACCACUAUAUUGGAGAAGUCCUGAAUGAACCUCUGGUAAUAACCUACAAACCCAAGGAAACUACGAAUCUCAGAUGGCGAUCUCGGAACCUCCCACCUCAUCACGACCUCGGCCUUUGCCGGAUCGACCAGAAUACCAUUCCGGUUGACAAGGUUCCCCAAAAACUACACCUCGUGUAACCAUAACUCACACUUGGAGAACUUCUCAUACAGUCUCUCCCUCAUUAGGGUCUCCAACACCUCCAUUAAAUGCUCCUCAUGUAGGUACUGGGUCUUGGAAUAGACUAGAAUGUCAUCGAUGAAUACAAUUACAUACCGAUCCAACAUCGGUCGGCACACGCAGUUCAUGAGGUCCAUGAAUGUGGCUGGAGCAUUGGUGAGCCCAAAGGGCAUCACCACGAACUCGUAAUGAUCAUAACGAGUCUGGAAGGCCGUCUUGUGCAUAUCGUCCUAUUUGACCCUCAUCUAAUGAUAAAAUGAAUGAAUAUCAAUCUUGGAAAACCAAGAUGCACCCAAAAAUUGAUUAAACAAAUCAUCAAUCCUUUGGAGUGGAUGACAGUUCUUCAUCGUUAGCUUAUUCAUCUCCCGGUAGUCAAUACACAUCCAAUGUGACCCAUCCUUCUUCUUCACAAACUAGAUCAGCACACCCUAAGGCGAACUAAUUGGUCGGAUGAACCCUUUGUUUAACAGCUUCAACAUCUGUGUAGACAACUCCUGCAUCUAUGGUGGAGCUAACUGAUAUGGUGCUUUGGCUAUCGGAGCUGCACCAGGAACCAAGUCAACCCGGAACUCCACCUGUCUCUCCGGAGGCACUCCAGGAAAAUUCUCCGAAAACACAUUCGGGUACUCCCGAACAAUCGACACAUCAUCAACCGACGCCUCACCCUUCUCCUGGGUAUCCAUAACAAAGGUGACGAAACCAGAACAACGCUGAUGAAGAUAGUGUUUGGCCCUAGCGGCUGAUCAUAGGACCGGCCCACAUUAAACACCCUAUUGAUGGACCACCAACUCUCCCCCACUUGGGUCCGAACACGCAUCAUCUGACAUUCCGCAUCAUCUGACAUGCUCACAAUUAAUCACUGUUCCAUUGGGGCUUAGCCAAUUCAUCCCCGCUAUAACCUUGUUCCCGCACAAAGGAAUCGGAACCAAGUCAAUCGGAUAUUGCUCACUGAAAUAUCUAGAACACAAUCCCGAUGAACCCUCGACGGAUCGAUCAUCCGCAAUCUCCACCUCUAAUGGAUGAUCCAACUCUCCCAUAGCUCCAUCAAACCUCUUCUGAGUGCAAGAGACACGAAAGAUCGGGUAGCCCCCGAAUAAAAUAAUAUCAAAGCAGAGAUGUUGUUCACAAGGAACGAUCCUAAAACAAAAAAAAACAAAUAUAAGCAGAGCAAUAAACAUAAAUAAAGAUUUAAGGAGAAGAGACAUACCCUUCGCCACAUCUGGUGCAACACGCGCCUCCUCGACAGUCAGUUGAAAAACCAUGCUCCUCACAACGGGGACAUCCGCCUUGCCCUUGCCGCCAUCAGUAAUCCGUAGGGUCGUUGGAGUAUACGCUACUAGUGGUCAUCCUAAUGCUAAACUAGGGUAGUUGGCCUUCUUGUGGACCCUCUAAUUGCAAUGAAAUAAAAUCAGAUCCGAUGUGUGGGUGGUAGUGAUAAGAGCAGUGAAAUCCUUGCCAAAGUACCCCGUCUUGCCGCACUUGUAGCAACCCGAACCACCCGCUCUGCAAACCCCCAUCAUGUGACAUGCCGCAUUUUCCACAGUGGAUCCAAACCUACUGGCUCCGCCUUCCUCUUCCAUAUGUGCUCCAAAUCAAUCUCUCGCUCCAGCGCCUAGAAUAUCAUGUCAUCCAAAGUCGGGUAGGCAGAGAAAGUAACGAACUCCCUGUUGGGUUUUGAGCAUUCUAACACCCCUAAGUGUACAUGCAACCUUAAAUACCUUGGAUCUAUGUUUUCUCUAUUAUACAUGCAAAUAUGAAUAUUCCAAGGUAUUAUCCUAACUAGCAUACAAAACAUUGAUUCAUAUGUAAUAAAGCAAGUUACAAGACAUAACUUUUGAUAUAGUUUGAUUCCAUGGAGCUUAAGAGCCUAGUGCCUCAAGUGUGACACCUCAAAUGGUUCACACAACACCAAUACACUUAGAAUAACUUGAGAGAAAUGAGACACUUCAUGAAAUCGGCUAGCCCUCACCAUUCCUUCAUAGUGGCCGAUUUUUUUUGGGAAGAAUAAGAUGCUUAUAUAGUGUGUCACAAUUAGGGUUACACCAUGUAAACCCUAUUUAUCAUGGCCUUUCGUUUCCAUGAUCCAUGUGUACAAAACACCAUGGAGCAUCCUAUGGGUUUUAGCCCAACUUGAUAAUCCGUGGAGCAUUAGCCCACUAUACAAGUUUGGAUGAUUUACACACCCAACCCAUAUAUUUAAUUAGUCUCCUUUUGAUCACUUAAUUAAUUCCAAAUUAAUUCUUGAUCAAUACUAAUUAAAUAAUCUUAUCAAUAUAUUAGAACUUAUAAUAUAUUAACAAACCUUAAGUGUUAUUUCUCUCAUUUUAUUCUAUCCAGUUGCAUGAUGCCAUGAAACCCAAAUGGACCACGCCAAUCGGGUCAAGUACAUACCAAAUAUAUUUAUGGACUUACACACUAAUCCAACACUCCCUGAUGUCAGAUCUCAGCAUAUCAUGGUACUGGGUCUUCGUCAUCUCCUCAUCAUCCGCAUACUGGGGUACCAAAUAAGCCCUCUCCUUAAAAUUGGCGGUGAUAUUCGCCACAGUCUCAGUUGUAUGCCUCAUGUUAAGAAACUCCCUAGAUAACUAUUUCACCUCAACAACUGGUGCAAACUCUACUCGAAACCAGGUCACAAAAUCUGGCCAGGUCAUGGCCUCAAUGGCUGAAACUCCCAAAGCAUAGCCGACCUCCUCCCACUAAUCUCGAGCUCGCUCCCUCAAACAUCCUGCAGCGAACCUCACCUUCGACCCUUCAGGGCACAAGCUCCUCAUUUGAGCACACUUAAUGUCAGCUAUCCAAUGCCUGGCUAUGAUGAGGCCCCUUACCAUAAAGAAAUUUGGUUCCCCACAUCCCCUGAAAUCGUUGAAGGAGAGAGUACGGGCCCCAGAUUCGCUAUCGUCCAGAUCGGCCUUGAAGACCCGAAGGCAAUCCUCCAUCAGCUCGAUGAUACCCUCAUUGAUCAACCUGAACAUCAUCGGGUCGCAUCAGGGAUGCCUCUCGUAACCUUAAAUGCAAUGAACUCAUGUAGCCUCUCAUCAAUAGGUUUGGUGCUUGUAACCAAACCAAAUCCAUAUCUUGAACCCCCUGCUUCGUGAUAUGUAACCACCAUACUGAAACAUAACCACAUAAACAAUUAGCACACACACAAGAAGGUUCACACUCUUGAGUUCCCUAGAUUCAUCGUGGUCUUCCUAGUCUCAGGUAUAUAUCAUGUGCUUUCAGUAGUAUAUGGGCCCAAUACUACCUUCCACACCUAUUUAUACCCUCCUCAAGGACUACCUCGACUCCUCCAAGUUGCUCUUCCCAACUGGUACAUUCCUCAAACUAUUAGGCAUCUUACACACCAAAGCAUCUCUUAAGGAAUCCCUAAGACUCCCCUUCCUCACCCCUCUCUACUAUCAUCUGCAGAAGGAACUUCCACAAAUACUACCUAACUACUACAUGAACACAAUUACAUACUACUAGUACUAGAUAACUUUUCGAAUGACAGGUUCCACCCUACAACGGUUGGACUCAAACAAGAGUUGUGAAAUAGAGUUAAACCUAUCUUUCUAAAACUAUACAAUCACAAUAAUAUGUAAUCCAACACAUUAAUCCACUAAUUAGCUAGUACCAACAGAAUUUCCUAAAGCACAAAGCAUGCAGCAUUUGGGCAUCAGGCAAUUCAAAUCAAAACAUACCAUGUAUAGGCCAUCCUAACAAGUACUGAUCUGAUACUAGCAUGCGAAUCUAUAAGCUCAACAAAUAGGCACAUAGAGGCAUCUCUCAUAACAUUCUAUCAUGCUAUUAUGAAGAGAUCCCUACCCCCUAAUCUAGCAUGCAAUUCUCACAUAAUAGAAUAGAACAUAUAACUUGUAUGGGUAUUUUGGGAAGACUUACUUGAUCUUGACUGAUUGCACGCAUCGCACCCCUUUUCUUUUAUUAAAACCCUUAGAAUAAAACAUUUCUUUUUAUGGAAAAAAAUCUACCAAACCCUCAAUUUGAUUCCAUGCACACCCGAGAGUAUGCCCGGAUCCCUCAAACCAAGACUUUGAUACCAACUUCUAACAUCCCAAAAUACAGGUACAUUUUUCUUUAAAUUCAUUCAAACAUACGAUACUCAUAUCCAAUCAGUCAAAGGUGUAUCAUGGAAACAUAUUAUCAGAGUACAAAUUCUCAAAAUGCAGAAAUCAUAGGGUGAUGCGGUGCGAUCAAGUCGGGACCUUCCCAUUCGAAGUGGAAAUACAGGAAACAUAAAGUAAAAACUAUAAGUGCAAAACUUAGUGAAUUCCCCAAAACACCUCAUACCAUACAAACAUACAGGCAAGCAUAUAUGGGUGCUUUCACUUCCUUCGGUCUAUUUCAACCGGAUGCUAUCAAGCAUAUAUGGGUGCUUGCAAUCCCCUUUGGUCUAUUUCAAUCGGAUACUGUCAAGCAUAUAUGGGUGCUUGCAAUCCCCUUCGGUCUAUUUCAACCGGAUAUUAGGUCUAUUUCACCCCUACAACUACCUUAUAAUAUCAUAACAAAUGAACAUAGAGCCAUCAAGCAAACACAAGUAUAACUGACAGUUGUCACGGAGUCAACCAUCAUACUACAACAUAAACUAGUGACCCGACAUUGGUGCCUUCGACCCACAGAUACAGUGAAAGAAACUCACCUCAGACUAAAGGUAUCACAUCGCACUCAACGGAUGACUCGCAAAAUCCUCUCCCUAAGGCACAAAUAUAAAACCCUAAUUAGAAAUUAGGCCAAUAUUCCAACCCGACAGUCCAAACCCUCAUUUCUGACUUUAAGGCAAAAAGGGUUUCUUCACCCAUGCCUCAUUGGGCCUUCCUCCCAAAAAGGCCCAAAUCCAUACAAGUCCAAGAAGGCAUCCAAGGACAAGUAUAAUGCCUUUAAUGCCUAAUAUGGCCCCAGAGUACCUAACUGUUGGAUUAAUGUCUAAGUCCAUAACUAUAUUUGGUAUGUACUUGACCCGACCCGGCAUGGUCCAUUUGGGUUGCACUUCUCCGACACAAUUUAUAUGGAUAAUCUUUUAAGAAUAGUAUGUUUAUGAUUAAUAUUAAUAUAUUAUAAGUUCUAAUAUAUUAAUAUGGACUCAUAUUAUUUAAUUAGUAUUGAUCAGGAAUUAAUUUAGAAUUAAUUAAGUGAUCAAAUGAACUAAUUAAAUAUGGACUCUUGUAUAUAUGGAAUGGGCCAAGUUCAUUUAGGUUGGGCUAAGCUUUCAUGGAUAGUCCAUGGAGUGUUUAACCCAUGGAUCAUAUGAAAUGAAAGGUCAUGGGUUUAACCCUAGUCUCCAUACUAUAUUAAGAUGUCCUUGGUUGGUGAAAUGGGCACUAGUGUGGAUACACUAAGAAGGGCUAGCCAAUUUCACAAGAGAAAACCAAGUAUCCAUAUUCUCUAAAGUAUUCCAAGGUGUCUUGGUGAUUUGUGAUUCCACUUGAGGCUUCCACACUAUUGGGGCUAAGCUCUUAAAGCUUGAAGACAUCAAGCUACAUCAAGAGGUAUGUAUUCUAUCUUGUUACAUUCAUAGUUUUUGUAUGCUAGAUUAGGAUAAUACCUUGGAUGUUCUUAUUUGCAUGUAUAAUAGAGAAAACAUAGAUCCAAGGUAUUUAGGGUUGCAUGUACACUUAGGAAGUGUUAGAAUGCUCAAAACCCAACAGUGGUAUCAGAGCCACGGGUUGUUUUCUGUUAUAUUGAUGCAAAUAUUUUAUUUUCAAAGUUGAAAAAAAAAAGAAAAAAAAACAUGAAGUUCGUCAAAUUUUAAGAUAAUUACUUGUUCUUGUGAAAAACUAAUUAUUUGUAAAAUUUGAAUAAUUUGCUUUAUGAGUUGAAUUAGGUCAAAUUUAAUAAAAGAUAAAAUAAUAUGAUUAUUUUAUUAGUUUUAAAAGUUUGAUCUAAAGAGUUUUAUUUUUUGAAACCUCCAUAAGUUAUGGAUAUGAAAAGGUUUUAAAAAAAAAAUUAAUUCAAAGUUUUUUUGGAGUUACAAAAUUUGGUGUUAAUGUUUUAAAGGAUUCCAUAACUUAAGAAUAAGUUAUGGAUCACCAAAAGUUUUUUGUGUUACCUUGUUUUAUGAGUGAAUUUAGAUUAAUGAAUAAAAUUAUG
rnacentral:lncRNA from 1 species